rnacentral:lncRNA from 1 species
AGCACUUUGCAGACAAGCAAAUGCCAAUUGUGAAAGAGAUCAUGCCAUGGCAGCUAUAAAUAGGCAUGUAGCAUGAUGACCAUCCUUCCUCAUUCAUCAUUCUCAUAAGUAGAGUGCAUCAUUCAAGCCAAGCAAGAACUGGUCAAUACAAAUACACCAUGAAGACUUUUCUCAUCCUUGCCCUCCUUGCUAUUGUGGCGACCACUGCCACAACUGCAGUUAGAGUUCCAGUGCCACAAUUGCAGCCGCAAAAUCCAUCUCAGCAACAACCACAAGAGCAAGUUCCAUUGGUGCAACAACAACAAUUUCCAGGGCAGCAACAACCAUUUCCACCACAACAGCCAUAUCCGCAGCCGCAACCAUUUCCAUCACAACAACCAUAUCCGCAGCCGCAACCAUUUCCGUCACAACUACCAUAUCCGCAGCCGCAACCAUUUCCACCACAACAACCCUAUCCACAACCGCAACCACAAUAUCCGCAACCACAACAACCAAUUUCGCAGCAACAAGCACAACAACAACAACAACAACAACAACAACAAAUCCUUCAACAAAUUUGCAACAACAACUGAUUCCAUGCAGGGAUGUCGUCUUGCAACAACACAACAUAGUGCAUGCAAGCUCACAAGUAUUGCAACAAAGUAGUUACCAACUGUUGCAACAAUUAUGUUGUCAGCAGCUGUGGCAGAUCCCCGAGCAGUCGCGGUGCCAAGCCAUCCACAAUGUCGUUCAUGCUAUUAUUCUGCAUCAACAACAACAACAACAACAACAACAACAACAACAACCAUCGAGCCAGGUUUCCUACCAGCAGCCUCAGCAACAAUAUCUAUCAGGCCAGGGCUCCUUCGAGCCAUCUCAGCAAAACCCACAGGCCCAGGGCUCUGUCCAGCCUCAACAACUGCCCCAGUUCGAGGAAAUAAGGAACCUAGCGCUACAGACGCUACCAGCAACCUGCAAUGUCUACAUCCCUCCAUAUUGCUCGACCACCAUUGCGCCAUUUGGCAUCUUCGGUACUAACUGAGAAGAGAAGAACUCUAGUACUAGAUAUAUCAAACAUCGUGUUCUUAGUCCAUGGUUUGGUCGUUGUACUGGUGAAAAUAUAAAGUGACAUGCACUACCAUGUAAGAACCCGAACUAUACUAGUUCAAACUUGGGAAUAAAAGACAAAGCCAGGUCUUGUCUGCAUAUGAUUAUUUGUUUGAGUUCCAUUCAUGUGCCCGUUCACAAGUUCACCCCUAAUUAUAUAUAUUACGCAUUAAGUAGAUAUCUAUGUUGCAUUAAUUUGAAGAUAACAAAAUGAGUCUAAAACUUGAAUUAAAUUGAAUUGUUUUCUUGGACUUUCAAAUUGUGUAUUAUUAAAGUAGUAACGACUAUCCACAUCCUUGGCUUGCCCUUGAUCAAUUAUUUCCAGAGAAGCAUUCAAUUCAUCAAUCAAUUACAUUGAUUUUUGAGACUGGUACAUCUCCUCAUCAUGAGUAUCAUUGCGGCUACUCCAAAUCGCCCACAUAACCGAAGCAUUAAUAGCGCUCUUCUUGCAUCAGGAAAUAUGGAUUGAAGAUAUCAGGUGACCAUGUUUCCGGGUGCAACCUUGGGAGUUUUAUGUCAAAAUAUUCUCAAGAAGAAUCCAAGAAUAAACUUGCAUGCUCACGUGUGAUAAGGGCAUAUGAAGUAACAUUUCCUCCCCAUGGCCACAUAGGGCACACACAUAACCCCAUCACAUGCAUUUUUAGUUAUGCAUAUGAAAGGUAGGAUGUUUUUAAUUACUCUCCACCAAAAUACUCUUAACUUGGCUUGUACCCUAAGAGUUUGUUGCCUUUUCAUUUCUUCUUCCCCAUUAGACAAACUAGACAGUCCAUCCACCACACCAUUCCUUGUGUCCAUCAUGGCUCUGUACAACAAUUGGACAGAACAAAUGUCAUUUCUUUAUGAUACCCACGACCAAAUGUCCUCUGCUGGAUUGUUUGGUCGUGGCAUAUUAAGGAUGGCCACCUCAUCUGAUGGGAUAAACACCUAAUGAAUGAAAGGAUUGUUCCAGUCGCCCGUGUUUUUCAUCGAUAAGAUCAGCUACAAGUUGGACCGGAGUUUCUCACAUGCAUCGUAGUGGUUUCAUUAGCGGCAUGCCCUGCACCCAUUUAUCAUGCCAUAUCUCUGUAGUAUGUGCAUUCCCAAUUUGUCACAACAUACCCUCCUUCAAACCUUCUUGACCUUUCAGAAUUGCACGCCAAGUUAGCGAUGCACUAUGCAGGAACCCGCAUUUCAAAAAAAAAAGAAUCUCAUUUCAUGGUAUCUUCCAUAAAGGACCCUCAUACAUGAGCUAUCUAGAUAGAAACAGCCAUGUAUGUUUAGCAAACUUUGCAUAAGUGAAUAGAUCAAGGUUGUGGAACCCCAAGCCUCCAAUUACACCCGGCCUCUCUACCAACAAGAUGUCUAAAGACAUGAAGGAUACACACAGCCAAAAAAGAAAAUAAAAAGAACAAAAUAAAAAAUACCCCACCAUGGUGGUCAAUCACAAGCAUCAACAACACUCUAACCACCACCGAAGACAAUGCCCGGAUUACAAAAAGGUUAUUCAAAAGCAACACCCACAAGAAGGAAACAAUGCACAAGCGUUGUCGUUGCCCGAUAGAAGAUCGUGGGUUUUCACCCUGGAAAAAUUUUGAGUUCACCCAAAAACAAUGCCUUCAACAAGGCCAUUGCCAAGUACAGCCAAUAAGGGGUAGACCUUGGGUUUUCAACCUAGGAACUGAGACUCGAUAGUCGACAAGUACCACCGAAAAUGCAGUCCACCGGUGUUGCCGCCCCCGCUUGCCGAGGCCGCUGUUGCAAGUCACCAAACAUACAGUUGUCAUCGCAUCCAAUACAUCCUUCCGCCGAAGCUUCAAGACCUCAAAUGGCAGCCGCCGUGACUUUCUCCACAUCUAUCAAUGCCUUGAGGAUCUUGACUUAGACAUGUCCCGUGACAUAAAUAAGAAACCGAAGCUUCGCACCGCGUCCUCUUGAGGCCGUGUUGGCUGAUAAUAUUAGCGCGUAUGACGGGAGCCUUUCCAACCUAGAUAUCCAGGGGCGACAUACACCAAUCAAUAUAGAUCUCCGCUCGGAAAGACCGGAACUCAUCAACGGCCAGAUCCAAGUGGUCGACAUCCGGCAAAAAGACGACUUGGCGGAAGAAGAGCAUCAGGGCCAAACCACCAUUAUUAGUCCGAAGCUAAUAGCCCCCACGCCGCCCUCCUCUCGAUCCAGACCUGCAGAAAAAGAUCAACGACGCCGCAUCGUGCCACUUGCAUCCGUGGAGGCUUGAACUUGGCAAGAUGCCAACCAUGGCUGGAGACGGGGACCAGCCACUCCUGGCUGGAUCCGGUGACUCCUAGUCCUACCGCUGCCGCUACGGCGGCACCGCGUGUGGCCUACAAGCCCAUCCACGAUGAUGUCUGAUUAGAAGGAUACAUGGAUAUACAGAUGAAAAGGCCCUUGUUAUCCCUCCAACAAUAUAUAUAUAGCUUAUUGGGACGUGAGAAAGCUCGCACAAUUUUAUAGUGGCUAUGGAAAUGUGUUGCCAGACAGAGAUAUAAGAUUUUUGUUUGGCAUCCAGACCGUUUGUGUCAUGCUUAAUCGAUGGUCACUCUAAUUUUUCCGGCGGGCCUUCCCCGUGGUACUGCAGCCUUAUAUGUGUAUGGGUUUCAUACAGCUAUUCUGUCCUGUCUAGAAAAGGAGAAAACCAAAAUUACUUGGAGUUAAUAACUAAUACGUUUCCUUUAACUACCAUGUGCACGGCGAGGAUUUACGUGCAUGAUGUUUUUUCCUCUCCCCACGUCAUAUUGGGCCGGCCCAUUCACGCGCAUAUGGUUAGAAAAAGAGAUGAGGAAAGGGAGAACCAGGAUUGAUUCCUAGUCUCAAGGUGACCGUGGGUGCUGCUACCAGUCCGCCCAAGUCCCGUUCGUGAUAAGUUGUAGGUGCGCGUGGUACUUCAAGCGAUUCAAGCCGGUUUUAUUUGAGUUUUUUUUCUCUUUUUUUUCUUCUUCAUUUUUUUCAUUCUUUUUUACACUCCGUUUCUUCGAUUUGUCAUUCUUUUUUUCUUUUGUUUAUUUCCUUUUUUUCGGUUUUCUUUGUUCUAUUGGUUAUCAUUGUACAUUUUUUGUAUAUGUCAACAACAUUUUUCUCUAAUACACGUCUAACAUUUUUCAAAUACAAACCAACCAUUUUUGUAAUACAUUGUCAACAUUUUUUCUAUACACAUUUUUUAAAUGCUUGAUUAUCAUUUUUCAAAUACAAGAUUAACAUUUUCUCAAUACAUGGUCACCAUUCUUUUUCUAUUUUCACAAAAAACUUAAAUGCUUGAUUAACAUUUUCUUAAUACAUGGUCAACUUUUUCUCUAUACACAUUUAACAUUUUCCAAACGCUUGAUUAACAUUUUCGAACCCUUGUUCAACAUUUCUUUUAAAUGCCUGAUUAACAUUUCUGUAUACAUGAUCAAACAUUUUUAUCAUUUUAAUACAUGGUCAACAUUAUUACCAUACACAUUUAACAAUUUCCAAUUCUUGAUUAAUAAUUUUUAAAUACUUGUUCAACAUUUUUUUCAAAUGCAUAAUGAUGACAUUGUUCAAAAGUGGCAUCACAAGUUUCAGGGAGUAGAAAAUAGAUUAAUCAAUGAAACCGCGCGAACUUUGUGAUGCUAUUGUGUUAUAUCAACUACUUUCUCCGUCUCAUAAUAUAAGAGUGUUUUUCACAUUAGUAUAUAGUGGAAAAACGCUCUUAUAUUAUGGGACGAAGGGAGUAUGUGUUUGUUAUGUCAUACUGAGCACCAAAUUCACUAUAUAUAUAUCUAUACCAAUAUAAAAAGACCUAAAGGGGCAGAUCCAAAUAAUCUUGGCCAUUAAAUCAUGUCAAUCCAAUGACAUAGACUGCUUCACUGUCGAGCACUUAAUACGUUUAGCAUGCAGUUAAUUGCAUGCCAAAUAUAGUGCUAAUCACAUAAUAACAUGCAAAUAAUAUCCUACUUAAUAUCCGAAUGCACUUAAUAUACUUCCAAAUUAACGCGCAUUACACAUACACAUUAACUAAUCACAUAAUCAAAGAAAUUAACACACAAAUAAUAGCAUACCUAAUAUCCACGUGUAAAUAAUAAAACAAUAUAAUGCUUAAAUAUUAACCUGUGUUGCACGUGCACAUUUAGUAGAACAUGGGAAUACAGUAACAGUAAGCUCACUAGACGGAAGCCCGUCACGGCCAUGUGAAUAGGAUCCUCCUCGUACUGCUCCUCUCCUGCCCUGCCCUGAGCAGUAUCAUCCGUCGUCGUCGCCGGGCGGCGCAGCAGCCGGCGGCCGAGGGGAGACCGAGAUUUCCUCUUUGGAGGCGCCGAAUGCGGCUCGUAAGUCCAAAUCCCUCCCAGUCCCGCCUCUCGAAUCCCCACCGGUCUCCUACUUCCAUGCCGCCAAUGCCCGCCUUUUCUUUGGACUCCGAGCGAGGAAUCGGAGGGAAAGCUGUGUGCUUCUUGCAGCUUCAUGCCCCGGCAAUGGCGGCCCUGCUUGCUUUCUGUUGCCGCUGGGUCGCUCUACUCUCUGCGUGCCCGUCCGCAAGGUGUUCGAUGGAUUGUGCGCAGGGUGUCGGCCCGGCUGGUCCCCUGGUCUCGUUCCAGUUCUCCCAGGUUUCAGUCUGCUUACUGUCAGUUGCUGAAAAUGUGCACGAAACGGAUGAAAAUGCUGGGAUAUGCGCUCUUUGUUUACCGUUUACCGUCAUUUGUUUGGUUGCAGGAAGCACCCGGCCUUAAGCAUAGUACUACAUAUAAAGUUGUAUGUUCUGUUCUGUUUGUUUGUUUGCUGUCUGAUGAUUGAGACAAGGGCAUAAUCUAAAGUUUGGCACCUGCACUUGCACCUGCUCCUGCACAUUUAUGUGCUGGAAACUGGAAUCUGUUCAGAGUAGUAUGGCCACGCCACAGGUUUUAGCUUUCACUCAUGGACCACAUUGCUUCUUGACUAUCUUGGAUGCUUGUUGGCCCAUCCUUGUAAUUCUAUAUCUUUCUAGUAGUCUUAUAAAUCAGAAACAUAACAACUUUUUGUGUUGCUUACUAUAUUUUGUGUAUUUACUUAGCGUGUUUAGUCAAAUCAUCUGUCAUUGUUCUCUCAAGUUGUUUUUCCUUGCGAUAUUCAACCCAGCGGUUUAAAAUUCCUGCAAUUGAUUCAUUCAAAGUGAUUUUUCCUUCUUUGUUGUUGUUUUCUUUUAAAUGUUUGGGCUGAGGCUCCAAAUGUUGCUACUCUUUUACAUGGACUAUGUUACUUUGGAGAAUACAAGAAUUAUGCAUUGGUACCACGAUAACAUAUGCCUAAUGGUUUUUCUUACAGGAUGGGGUUUCCAACACAUAAAUAGUUUGCUAGCAUGCAGACAAGUGUCCAGUAGCCUUUGCGCCAUUUGAGGCGUAAUGGAGAUAGUUUUUCUCAUGUUGUUGGUUCUUUCUCUGCUCCUUUUCCCUAAUGGCAUCUGCAAGAGUUUAGCCACAGGGCCUCCUGUUGUGAAUAUUGGGUCUAUUCUUCAAUUUGACUCCACCACCGGAGGUGUUGCGGCAGUUGCCAUCCAUACAGCCUUGGAAGAUAUCAACUCCGAUCCAACAGUUCUAAAUGGAACUACACUAAAGGUUCAAAUGAAGGAUACAAAUUGCUUUGAUGGUUUCCUUGGCAUGGUUCAAGGUAGGCUAGCUUUAAUGUCACUCAUUCAUUUCGCAACCUUCAAAUAAUUUUUUACUUCUGUUGUGGAGUUGUGGCAAUGAUGCCGUGUUCCUUGUAUCAGCUUUGCAGUUCAUGGAGACUGAUGUUAUUGCACUCAUUGGCCCUCAGUGCUCUACUAUUUCUCAUAUGAUUUCAUAUGUAGCAAAUGAGCUUCAAGUCCCUUUAAUGUCCUUUGCUUCUGAUGCAACUCUUUCAUCGAUACAGUUCCCGUUCUUUGUCAGGACGGGUCCCAGUGAUCUCUAUCAAAUGGCGGCUGUGGCAGAAGUUGUUGACUACAACCACUGGAAGAUAGUGACUGCCAUAUACAUUGAUAAUGUUUAUGGUAGAAAUGGCAUUGCUGCUUUGGAUGAUGCACUCACUUUAAAGCGCUGCAAAAUAUCCUACAAGGUUGGGUUUCCUUCCAACGCUAAAAGGAGUGACCUCAUAAAUUUGUUGGUUAGUGUCAGUUAUAUGGAGCCUCGUGUUAUUGUUCUCCAUACUGGAGCUGAACCUGGACUCAAGCUUUUCUCUGUGGCAAACCAACUGAACAUGAUGGGCAACGGCUAUGUGUGGAUUGCAACUGACUGGCUGUCUGCAUAUCUUGAUGCUAAUUCAUCAGUUCCUGCUGAGACUAUAUCUGGCCUGCAAGGUGUUCUUACUUUACGGCCACAUAUUCCCAACUCAAAGAUGAAGAGUAAUUUGGUCUCCAAAUGGGGCACGCAAAGUAAAAAGUACAACUACAGUGAUCUUCGUGUAAAUACGUAUGGUUUUUAUGUUUAUGAUAGUGUCUGGGCAGUAGCUCGGGCUCUGGAUGCCUUCUUUGAUGAUGGUGGUAGGAUUUCCUUUUCAAAUGACUUGCAUGAUGGAAUUGGAGGAACUCUUCACCUUGAAGCAAUGAGCAUUUUUGACAUGGGAAGCAAAUUACUGGAGAAGAUUAGAAAGGUAAACUUCAGUGGGAUAUCUGGGCAAGUGCAAUUCGAUGCUGUAGGCAACCUCAUUCACCCUGCGUAUGACAUCAUAAAUGUCAUCGGAAAUGGCAUGCGGACCAUUGGUUUUUGGUCAAACUAUUCUGGCUUGUUGUCGACUGUCUCUCCAGAGGCUCUAUAUUCAAAGCCUCCUAAUAUUUCUCUCGCCGAUCAGCAUCUCUAUGAUGUUAUUUGGCCUGGGGAAACUGCACAGAGGCCUCGAGGAUGGGUCUUUCCUUCUAAUGCCAAGCAGUUGAAAAUUGGUGUUCCCAACAGAUUUAGCUUCAAAGAGAUCGUCACGGUAGACAAUGCUACUGGGUCAAUGAAGGGUUAUUGCAUCGAUGUCUUUACUCAGGCAUUGGCUUUGCUUCCUUAUCCUGUUAGUUACAAGUUUGUACCUUUUGGGAAUGGUACUGAAAAUCCUAAUUAUGACAAACUCGUACAGAUGAUUGAAUCAAAUGUAAGUAUGGAAUGCCUCUUUUCUUCCUCUAACCAUUUCAUCAUAUACCAUGCUGACCAGGGUCAUCUUAUCCUGCAGGAGUUUGAUGCAGCUAUAGGGGAUAUUGCAAUUACAAUGAGGCGGACAGUAACUUUUGAUUUCACCCAGCCAUUCAUUGAAACAGGCUUGGUUAUCUUGGCUCCGGUUAAAGAGCAUAUAACAUCGUCCUGGGCAUUCUUGCAGCCAUUUAGUUUGGAGAUGUGGUGUGUUACAGGGCUGUUCUUUCUUAUUGUGGGUGUGGUUAUUUGGGUUCUUGAACAUCGGAUCAAUGACGAUUUCCGUGGUUCAGUAUGUCAACAAAUAAUAACUAUUUUCUCGUAAGGAGCUGGCAUUUACCUUUUGUAUCGUCUUCUUGUAUAUCAUUCCUGUUUUCGAAGUGUUGAUGUUUUAACAAGUCUUGUGCAAUAUGUUGCAUACAGCGAGCACCUUAGAGCAUUGGCCAGUUAACAUACCUAAAUGAAGCAUCUAGUGAUUACCAAUGAACUACUCCCUCUGUCCCAUAAUAUAAGAGUGUUUUUGACGGCGGGAGUAUUAUCUUAAUAAUCUUGUGAGACAUAUAUACAUGCACAGUAUAUAUAUUCGCUUAAUGAUAUUUAUGUUCAUUGCUCUAUUUUUUCCUGUUUUCACGUACUUCUCCACAUGUAUUUGCCAAAUGCUCUUAUCAUGACGUGAUUCCUUACUGUGAGUAUAAUUUCAAAUUUUAUUGCCUGCAGGUUCAGCUUUUCAACUUUGUUCUUCGCACACAGUGAGUAAACCAACCUUUUCUCUUAUGUGUUUUUUUGGCUAUAACAUUUUGUUCUGAGGCAUGACUCGUGAUUUCAUCCAUGUCUGCUCGCAGGAGAAAAUACUAUGAGUGCCUUAGGGCGUGGUGUCCUGAUCAUAUGGCUGUUUGUUGUUUUGAUAAUUGUAUCCAGCUAUACCGCGAGUCUUACUUCCAUCCUGACCGUGCAACAACUUGAUACUUCUAUAAAAGGAAUUGAUGACCUGAAAAAUAGCAAUGAUCCUAUUGGUUUCCAAGUUGGUUCUUUUGCACAAGACUAUAUGGUCAAGGAGCUCAACAUCUCACGGUCAAGGCUAAGAGCUCUUGGUUCACCACAAGAAUACGCGGAAGCCCUCAAGAUAGGCCCUAAGGAAGGAGGUGUUAUGGCCAUUGUUGACGAGCGCCCCUAUGUUGAACUGUUUUUGUCAACCUACUGCAAGAUUGCGGUAGCUGGCACAGAUUUCACCAGCAGAGGAUGGGGCUUUGUAAGUACAGUUCAACCAUAUACUUUUAUAUAAACUACUCCCUCCGUUCCUAAAUAUAAGUCUUUGUAGAGAUUCCACUAUGGACCACAUACGGAUGUGCAUAGAUGCAUUUUAGAUUGGAGAUUCACUCAUUUUGCUCCGUAUGUAGUCCAUAGUGGAAUCUUCCCAAAGACUUAUAUUUAGGAACGUAGGGAGUAGAAUAUAAGAACAAAAUAUUAUGCUGUUAAUGUCCUGGAAUAGAGGUUUUAACUUUGAAUAGUUGUGUCUAGUCUCUAGUUUAUUAUGCAACUUUUCUUGCACUUAUCUGCGGCUACUUUGUUUCGCAAAUCGAAAUGUAGCACCUUACAAAUUAAUUCUGCCAGGCAUUUCCAAGGGACUCCCCUUUGCAAGUAGACCUCUCCACCGCAAUCCUGUCUCUGUCAGAGAAUGGGGAGCUGCAGCGGAUCCAUUCCAAAUGGCUCAAUACAGGGGAGUGCACAACUGACAACAGCGAGUUUGUCGACUCGAACCAGCUCCGCCUUGAGAGCUUCCUUGGUCUGUUCCUAAUCUGUGGUGUGGCAUGUGUUCUCGCGCUGCUACUCUACUUUGGUAUCAUGCUAUGCAAAUACCUGAGGCAUGAACCGCGGAAGAGCCUCAGAAGAUUCAUCUCGUUCGUCCAUGGGAAGGAGCCGCCGAAGAACAUGGAGAGGCGAUCCAUGAGCCUGCCUGGAAGCUCGACGCCAACAACGCCGAUGGGCAGCUUUAGUUCCCUUGACAUGGAAAGGCCGGCCAGGCCAGUCAGAAACGGCAGCGUUAUUGAUAUGGAAAGCUAGUUCAUGUGUAGAAAGCUACGCGGUCGACUAACAUAGGUUCUGGUAGUCGGACAGCAGGGGUGUAUAGGGGGAUUCAAAAUACUUCUUAAGUACUCCCUCCGAUCCAAAUUAUUCCAAAGUUUAGGAAAUAAGAGAAGGAAGGAUUAAUAAGAAAUAAAAAUAUUGAAAUGCUCCUCCUGUCCUACAUAUAUUGUUUUUACCUUUUCAUGACUGUAUUUUGGGGGGAGUGUGGAUUUUCUAUCAUGCACGGGACCUCCCGUGCAUGCAUCCAUCACAUUUUUUAUUGCUGUGUGGGGCCCCUAUUUUCUCUCACCUAACAUACAUUCACAUGUUAAUUUGUACUGACUAGGUUUCAUUCACUAGUGCAGAACAGGCCUUUAUCACUGGUUCAUAAGGGCCUUUAGUGCCGGUUCUGUAACCGGCACUAUGGAGUGGAGACUAAAGGCCCCCCUUUAGUACCGGUUCGGCACGAAUCGGCGCUAAAGUGCCACCACGUGGCACGAGCCAGUCCCGGGUGCUGGUAGACCAUUAGUACCGGUUGAUAACACCAACCGGUACUAAAUGUUUGGGGGGGUUUUGGUUUUAAUUUUUAAUUUUUCAUUAACUUUGGGUUUUCCAUUUAAUUCUUUUUUGUUUGCUGGUAUUUUACGAUACUACAUAUUGUACACGUUAUGCAUAUAUAUAUAAAUAGAUUUUCUCGUAGAACUGAUCAUAUAUAUAAUCGAAUGUCUCACAACCACCAUUAAUUAUUCACACAUACACNNNNNNNNNNNNNNNNNNNNNNNNNNNNNNNNNNNNNNNNNNNNNNNNNNNNNNNNNNNNNNNNNNNNNNUUUGCUGGUAUUUUACGAUACUACAUAUUGUACACGUUAUGUAUAUAUAUAUAAAUAGAUUUUCUCGUAGAACCAAUCAUAUAUAUAUAUAAUCGAAUGUCUCACAACCACCAUUAAUUAUUCACACAUACACAUGUAUAUAUAUAUAUAUAUAUAUAUAUAUAUAUAUAUAUAUAUAUAUAUAUAUAAUUUCUCCUCCAUGUUGCCUUGGUGCCUUCGGAGCACGAUGACAAGUGGUUCAUGGAGACGGUAGCGGGUAAUAGUAUUUUCCUUUGGGAUCUAUGACCUGCUCGAGCAAAAAUCUCGUUAUUUCCUCUUGAAGUGCUCGUAUGCGCUCUGUUGGUAGGAGCUGGUCCCGCAUGUCUUUGAACCGUUAAGAAGGAGAUCAAUAUGCAUGUGUAUUAGUUGUGUGACUAGAUAUCGAUAAUCAUGUAAGAUUUGUGAAUAGUGUUCUGGCAAACGUACCCAUUGUUGUCUAUCAUAUCUGCUCCUUUCGGACGCCAUUAUGCGAAUGUUCUUGAAAACGUAGUAUGCACACACUUCAGUCCCCGGCGCCUGCUUCAGGGCCUUUACGAGAAUAGAAUUUAAUCAGAUAAUAAUUAAUCAAGUGUGUUAAUUAAUUAAUGGUAUUGAAACAAGAAUUAAAGAGAUGGUAGCUAGCUAGCUAGUACUACUUAAUUACUUGCCUUGGGUCGAUACCAAAAUAGCUUUUGUCGCCAUUUUCCUGAAGUCACCUUGAUGUACUUUACCCAAGCCCUUCCCGUCGGCAAAGAAAAUUGAUAAAGGGGUUAUUAAAAAUAGUUCAUAUCAGGAAAUGAUAAACUAAAUAGGCCAAGAUAUAGUUAAUAAUGAUUGAAAUUACCUGUUGACUAUCCCUUCAUUAUGCUGUAGUCACUAUCUUUUUUAAGUAGUGAGUCCAGUACUUCAACUUUUCCUUCGUCAACUUUAAUGUCUAACAAGAUCCAGUGGUACCUGCAUACGCAUAAGUUUGCAUGUAUAAAUUAAGCGGGCAUGUGCAUAACACUAAUCAACUAUAACCCUAAACCCUUUACACUUAUUAACAUCUAGCUAGUAAGCAAAAACAGAAUUUGUAGUACAAGACAGUGUGACUCACUCGAAGUUGUAAGGAAGUAGUACAUCUUCAUUGCUAUUGAGGUGCUUCAAGAACUCUAGCAUGUUUUUCUCUACAUCUUGUCUACACCAUUCCAAUUUCCAUGUGUAUUCAUUAACAGUAUUUGGGUCAAUGAACCCAAUGCCAUAGCGUCUAGCUUUUUUCAUUUCAUACAUCUUCAUCCUGCAUAAUACCACAGAAAAGAAUAUAUAGUGAGGAUAUUUAAUUACAGGUAAUUAAUGAUCAAUCAAUGAGCACUAGAGCUAGCUUGAGACUUAAAUUACAGAAAGAAAUCACUUACAGACAAUAGCAACUGACGAUAGAUUUGUCGAGUGCAUCUUGAUUGAAUAACUGAAAUAGUUCUGAAUACUCAACAGUUAGAGCUUUCUUAUUGAAGUAAUGAUCUUCCUUGACUUGCACCAUGAGGGACUCUCAAUUGGAAAUCUUGAUAAUUUUCAUGUACCAAUCAUGCAAUUCAUACAUUCUCGUUGGGAGGUUCUUGACCUCCUCGGGCUCGACCAAAGGUUGGCCCCGGACAUAUUUCCGUUUUAUUUUCUCCUCUCUAAGCAGAGACAUGGGCUCGAUAUCGAGGAGUUGUCCAAUAGUGAUCUUGAGCAUUUCAGCCUGCAUUAUAUGAUCCUCGGUUAUUACCACACCACCCACCUCGGGAACGUAAAUGGUUGCGCCGCCUGUUCUCCCAGCUGGGGAACGGUUUUCCCGUAUUUUUUGACAGCUGCUUGUUGGCUCGAGCUCGAGCUCGCUUCUUUCCGUAGUCGUGCUCGAUGUGCCUUUCUGAUUUGGCGCUCAUAGUCUGAGUCAACAGGCUUGGGAGCUGGUGGCCUAGCCAUACGAAUGAAGUGGUCAAUAUUUUUCCUCAGGCACUUUCUCCCUCGGCGGCGUUGCCGGUUUCGGUCCAAAAUGGGCGUCCACUUGGGCCUUCACUAUGGCUGCAUUUUGCUCCUCGGUCAUGUUGUAAGGCCUCUGAGGAAGAGGAGCGAGGCUGCUUGGACCAUAUUUAUAUCGCUUGUCUCCGCCUGUACUUCCUGUACUACCUUGACUCGUACCACUACGCACCAUAGCUGCGGCGUGUCUCUUCUGCGAUUGCUGAGGCGGCGGAGACGGCUGACGUUGCUGAGUUGGAGCAGGAGGAGUGGCCUGACGCUGUGCCAGACUUGAAGCAGGAGGUGUGGCCACUAGUAGAAAAAGGGUCAAAUGUGAAGCACAUUAGUGCCGGUUUGUGAAAAAACCGGCACUAAUGUGAUCAAUAGUACCGGUUCGUGGCGGCGAUCAAUAGUAUCGGUUCGUGACGAACCUUUAGUACCGGUUCAUGCCACGAACGGUACUAAAGAGGAUGUGGCAGCCUGCAGUCAGGCUAUGGCCCCACCAUCACCAUUUAGUGCCGGUUCGUACCACGAACCAGUACUAAUGAGGUUAUGGCAAGCUGUUUUUAGUCCCACCUCGCUCCCCUAACAAGGCUUUUACCACCUUAAAUAUGUUACUUCUCAAACUAUCACAAGCACUUGGUCUUCAUUGAACUCUAUGUGUAGAAUUUGUGGCUGCAAUAUGAGUCUUCACCGGUUUAUAAAUCGUUGAGGACUCAUAUUGACAAUUCAGAUUGUACACAAAAAGAUCAUUGAUGAUCAAAGUAUUUUUAAUGUAUAAGAUCAUAGUGACAAUUCAGACUGUAAAGAAAUAUAAUAUCAUAAUCUAAAUGCUCUUAUAUUUUUUGCAUUCAGUAUGCACCAUUCAAAGCGACGCCAUCAACUUUCAACCAUUUAUGCCUUCAUUUGCUAUUUUUCAUGCAUUUAAUGAUUUGUUUUGAGAACUAAAUAACCUGGAAAUUGAAAAGCACUACAAAUGAACUCUGAAAAAGUUGAAACUUGGCAUGGUAUCAUCAUUUCACCCACAUAGCAUGUCCAAAAAAGUAGAGAGGGUUAUGGCAAAAACUGGAUGCACUUCGUUUACAAACUGGACAAUCUCUUUCGAAGUAUUUGGGUUUUGACGAAAUUAAACUCAUCUGUUACAAAGGCAUUUCAUUUUUUAAACUUAUUACAACCCCAGACUUUUUGUUCAUUAGUAUGCACUAUUCAACUACUAGGCGGGAGGAGCUCUUUAGUACCGGUUCCAACUGCUAAGCGGGAGGAGCUCUUUAGUACCGGUUCGUGGCGAACCUUUAGCACCGGUUCGUGCCACGAACUGGUACUAAUAAGGUUGUGUUAGGUAAGGCUGGGGCCCCACGAGCACCUUUAUUACGGGUUCAUGGCAUGAACCAGUACUACAGUUUCUUAGAAAGCUGUUUUUUAGUCCCACCUCGCGAAGAGAGAGGGACUAGGAGCGGUUUAUAAGCCCUGAGUGCAGAGACGAUGAAGAAGAGGCUCAAUGCUCACGUUGCUUAGCUUCAAGCCUUGAGGAAUAUGGUAGACUGCAUGGAGCUAUGUGCAAUGCAGUUUACACUAUUCCGAAAGGCUUGAAACUAAUUAACGAGCAUUGCAUCUCUUUUUUAUUUUUAAUAACUUAUUACAACUCCGGACUUCUUCUGUUAUGGCAAAAACUAGAUGCACUUCGUGUACAAACUGGACAAUCUCUUUUAAAGUAUCAGGGCCGGUUUCAGACGAAAACUCUGGUUAUAACUCCAGACUUUGACCAUCAAGUUUUAACCAUCAACUUGGCAUGGUAUAUGAAAAUAAAUGAAUAGAAGAAAAUAAAUAAAGCAGAAAAGAAAAAAACUAUAGCAGAAAAUAAAAAACUAUAUAAAAAACUACUCAGAAAUAAAUAGAAGAAAAUAAAUAUAGCAGAAAAGAAAAAAACUAUUCAGAAAUAAAUAGAAGAAAAAAUAAAGCAGAAAAGAAAAAAAACUAUAUUUGCUAUUUUUCAUUCGUUUACUGAUUUUUUUAGAGAGCCAAAUGACCGUGAAAUUAAAAAUCACUACAAAAUAAACUCUGAAAAUGUUGAAUUUUGGCAAACUAGAUAAAAAACUACUCACAAAUAAAUAGAAGAAAAUAAAUAUAACAGAAAAGAAAAAACUAUACAAAAAACUACGCAGAAAUAAAUAGAAGAAAAUAAAGCAGAAAAUAAAAAAACUAUACAAAAAAAUUGGGGCGCUGCCCAAUGGGCCUGCUAGGCCACGGGCGUGCAAUUACAGGCCCUAACGGCCCAACAGGCUCACAGGGCAGCGCACAGAAGUUAGGCCCAGAAGCCUGCUAUAUAUAGGAGUUCAAAGAGGCAGCCGCGGCUGGGUUUAUAAACCAGUGAGGCUGCCCUUCGCACGGGGAGAUGGGACUAAACGUCGUGCACCGCGGGUGGCAGCGCAAGGCCUUUAGUAUCGGUUGGUGGCUCCAACCGGUACUAAAGCUCGUGCCUUUAGUACCGGUUGGAGUCACCAACCGAUACUAAAGGCCAUCGGUUCCCGUCGUUUGGCCUGGCGAAAAUAGGCCUUUAGUACCAGUUGGAGGCACCAACCGGUACUAAAGGCCCAUCCUAUAUAUAUAGCACUUACGAAAUUUUCAGUUUCAUCCCCCACUUCGUCUCUCGAACCGCGUGCGCCGCUCGAUCCCCGUCGUGUCGCCGCACGUCGCCCGUCGUCCGUCGUCGUCGUCGCUGUCCCCCGCCGCCGCCCGUCGUCGUCGUCGUCUCACGCCGCUGCCCUGAACGCCGCCGCUGUCUGUCGUCGUCGCCGCGGCGCCGCCCGAUACGUCUCUCCCCGCCCCGUACGCCGACGCCCCUGCCCCCGCCCCGUACGCCGCCGCCCCCGCCCCCGCCCCGUACGCCGGCGCCCCCGCGGCGUACUGCACAUACACACACACGUAUACAUAUACACGCAGUACACACAUAUACACACACAUACACAUACACAUUUUUUUACUAGUUGAAUAAUUUAUAUAAUUAAUAUAACUAGUUUAUUUUAGUAAGAAAAUAAUCGAACUAGUUUAUUUAGGUAUAUGAGAUUUGAACUAGUUGAAUAAUUAAUAUAACUAGUUUAUUUUUAGUAAGAAAAUAGUCGAACUAGUUUAUUUAGGUAUAUGAGAUUUGAACUAGUUGAAUAAUUAAUAUAAAGAAAAUUUAGGUAUCUGAGAUUUGAUGAUCUAAUUAAAAUAUUAUUUGUUAAUGAGUUUUUCUGUUUAUUUAAUUUUUUUUAUAUAUUUUUAGUUUAUAUAAAUGUUAGAUUAAUGUCGAAUGUUAAAUGAAUUAGAUAGAAAAGUUAAAUAUAUAGUAAUGUCAAUUGUUAGAGAUGAAUAUAGUUAGAUAUAUUAAUGUCAAAUGUUAGAUGAAUAUAUAUAUUUGAAUUAGCUAGAUAUUAAUUAAUGUUAGAUAGUAAUAAGUGUUUAAUGUUUCACUUAUAUGAACAUAGGAAAUGUCAUCUGACAACGAAGAAGAUUUCAUUAUGUGCGAACACUNNNNNNNNNNUCUCCUACAUGUUGCCUUGGUGCCUUCGGAGCACGAUGACAAGUGGUUCAUGGGGGCGGUAGCGGGUGAUAGUAUUCUCCUUUGGGAUCUAUAACCUGGUCGAGCAAAAAUCCCGCUAUUUCCUCUUGAAGUGCUCGUAUGCGCUCCUCUGAUAGGAGCUUGUCCCGCACCUAUUUGAACUGUUAAGAAGGAGAUCAAUAUGCAUGUGUAUUAGUUGUGUGACUAGAUAUCGACAAUCAUGUAAGAUUUGUGAAUAUUGUUCUGGCAAACGUACCCAGUCCUGUCUAUCAGAUCUGCUCCUUUCGGACGCCAUCAUGCGAAUGUUCUCGCAAACGUAGUAUGCACACACUUCAGUCUCCGGCGCCUGCUUCAGGGCCUUUACGACAAUAGAAUUUAAUCAGAUAAUAAUUAAUCAAGUAUGUUAAUUAAUUAAUUGUAUUGAAACAAGAAUUAAAGAGAUGGUAGUUAGCUAGCUAGUACUACUUAAUUACUUACCUUGGGUCGAUAUCAACAUAGCUUUUGUCGCCAUUUUCCUGGAGUCACCUUGAUGUACUUUGCCCAAGCCCUGCCCGCCGGCAAAGAAAAUUAAUAAAGGGGUUAUUAAAAAUAGUUCAUAUCAGGAAAUGACGAACUAAAUAGGCUGAGAUAUAGUUAAUAAUGAUUGAAAUAACCUGUCGACUAUCCCCUUCACGAUGCUGUAGUCACUAUUUUUUUAAGUAGUGAGUCCAGUACUUCAACUUUUCCUUCGUCAACUUUAAUGUCUAAUAAGAUCCAGUGGAAGCUGCAUGCGCAUACGUUUGCAUGUAUAAAUUAAACGGGCAUGUGCAUAACACUAAUCAACUAUAACCCUAAACCCUAUACACUUAUUAACAUCUAGCUAGUAAGCAAAAACAGAAUUUGUAGUACAAGACAGUGUGACUCACUCGAAGUUGUAAGGAAGUAGUAUAUCUUCAUUGCUAUUGAGGCGCUUCAAGAACUCUAGCAUGCAUUUCUCUACAUCUUGUCUACACCUUUCCAAUUUUCAUGUGUAUUCAUUAACGGUAUUUGGGUCAAUGAACCCAAUGCCAUAGCGUCCAGCUUUUUUCAUUUCAUACAUCUUCAUCCUGCAUAAUACCACAGAAAAGAAUAUAUAGUGAGGAUAUAUAAUUACAGGUAAUUAAUGAUCAAUCAAUGAGCACUAGAGCUAGCUUGAGACUUAAAUUACAGAAAGAAAUCACUUACAGACAAUAGCAACUGACGAUAGAUUUGUCGAGUGCAUCUUGAUUGAAUAACUGAAAUAGUUUUGAAUACUCAAUGGCCAGAACUUUCUUAUGGAAGUAAUGAUCUUCCUCGACUUGCACCAUGAGGGACUCUCGAUUGGAAAUCUUGGUAAUUUUCAUGUACCAAUCAUGCAAUUCAUACAUUCUCGUUGGGAGGUUCUUGACCUCCUCGGGCUCGACCAAAGGUUGGCCCCGGACAUAUUUCCGUUUUAUUUCCUCCUCUCUAAGCGGAGGCAUGGGCUCGAUCUCGAGGAGUUGUCCAACAGUGAUCUUGAGCAUUUCAGCCUGCAUUAUAUGCUCCUCGGUUAUUACCACAUCGCCCAGCUCGGGAACGUAAACGGUUUGCCCACAAUAAUAUUGGGCGCGCGUACUCUCAUGUGUUGUUGGCACAACAAGCGAGGGGGGGGGGGUGGUCGAUUGCGCCGCCUGUUCUCCCAGCUGGGGAACGGUUUUCCCGCAUUUUUUGACAGCUGCUUGUUGGCUCGAGCUCGAGCUUGCUUCUUUCUGUAGUCGUGCUCGAUGUGCCUUCUUGAUUUGGCGCUCAUAGUCUGAGUCAACAGGCUUGGGAGCUGGUGGUCUAGCCAUACGAAUGAAGUGGUCAAUCUUUUCCUCAGGCACUUUCUCCCUCGGCGGCGUUGCCGGUUUCGGUCGAAAAUGAGCGUCCACUUGGGCCCACACUAUUGCAUCGUUUUGCUCCUCGGUCAUGUCGUAAGGCCUCUGAGGAAGAGGAGCGAGGCUGCUUGGACCAUAUUUAUAUCGCUUGUCUCCGCCUGUACUUUCUGUACUACCUCGACUCGUACCGCUACGCACCAUAGCUGCGGCGUGUCUCUUCUGCGAUUGCUUAGGCGGCGGAGACGGCUGACGUGGCUUAGUUGGAGCAGGAGGAGUGGCCCGACGCUGUGCCGGACUUGAAGCAGGAGGUGUGGCCUGACACGGUGUCGGACUUGAAGCAGGAGGUGUGGCCUGACGCCGUGCCGGACUUGAAGCAGGAGGUGUGGCCUGACACGGUGGCGGACUUGGAGGAGCGGGAGUCUGCUGACACGGUGGCGGACUUCGAGGAGGAGUCGGCAGACGCGGUGUCGGUGGACUUCGAAAGAUGAUGCAAUCCUUUUUCCAUAGGAUGAAACGAUGUAUGGCCUCUCCCAGUGUUUGCUCGUCGUCACCUCCAGGAAUGUCAAGCUCUAGCCCCGAAUAUGGGCCCACCACCUCAUCAACCAAGACACGAGCAUAGCCCUCUGGAAUCGGGGCACAAUGGAAGGUUGCUCCGGGGGUAAUUGUAAAAGCAACGGCGUUCGCCACCUUCAUGGAUAUGUUCUUCAUUUUGUAGUGUAGCUCACAGUUAGUGUUCUCUAUGAUGUCAUCCACAGGGUAUGUAUCCAGCAGUGCGUCGCCCGGGGCGGAACCAACGCUGCUUCUCGGCAUGGAUGGGACGGCGCUAUCCAAUGCUGGAUGAUCAUCCGCUUGCUGCUGCCGCUGCUGAGACCCCCUUUCCUGGCUAAGUGAGUCGAUCUGCUGCUGUUGCUGCUGCUGGAAUUUGAGUGCCAAGUCCGCGUGCCUUGCUUCUAGGCCUUGAAGGCGUUCCGCGUCCUGCUUCCUCUGCUCCUCCUCCAGCUUCCUCUUCUUCUCCUCCUCCAUCUUCUUUCUUGCACGGGUCCUGUAGUCGUCGUUCCAUUCCGAAAAGCCCUCAUACCAGGGAAUAACGCCCUUGCCUCGCGUUCUUCCCGGGUGUUCAGGAUUUCCCAGGGCACGCGUAAGCUCGUCGUUCUCUCUGUUGGGCGUGAACACCCCCUUUCGAGCAUCUUCUAUUGCGUCAAGUAACUUUUCUUCUGCUCCGUUUAGACUUGCCUUCUUCGAAACCAGGCCUGUCUUCGGGUCCAACGCCCCCCCAUGCGCAUAGAACCAAGUUCUGCACCUGGGGGGCCAGCUCCUAGUAACCGGAGUGACCCCUGCAUCCUCCAUCUCUUGCUCAGACUUAUCCCACUUAGGCAUUGCCACCGCGUAGCCACCUGGACCCAGCCUAUGGAACUGCGUCUUUUUUGCGGCAUUGGCCUUGUUUUUUCUCGACGUUCCUUAGAUAAUUCUGAUUCCUUGAAUUUCACGAAAGCGGGCCAGUGUUCUCUUUGCUUCUCCAGUGUUCCCUUGAAUUCUGGAGUCUUCCUUUCUGCAGUGAGGUAGUUGGCCCAUACAGUUUUCUUGUGGGUGUUGAAUGCAAUUGCCAUCUUCUUAAGAGCAGCGUCCUUGACUUUCUGCACAUCUGCAUCAGUGAAAUAAUCUGAUAGGGUGAAAUGUUCCAUCAGAGAUUUCCAAAGCUUUUGUUUUGCUCUGUCGUCGACCCAAGUAAUAUCUGGGCGUUUAGUUUUUGGCUCUUUCCAUUCUUGAAUGGAGAUCGGGAUUUGGUCCUUCACAAGAACUCCGCACUGACGAACGAACUUGCUCGCAAUGUUCUUAGGCGUGAGGGGUUCGCCACUAGCUUUGAUGGAAUCGAUGUUGUACUUUACACCCUCCUUCAACUUUUUGCUCGGGCCGCGCUUUGUCCUGCUGUCUGUAGAAGCAGAUUUGCUCGAUCCGGAGGGCUGAAAGAAGAAAGAUCGAUUCGUUAAUAUAUCUUCAAAUAAAAAAACAUGUGAUGAUCACUAGAUGACUGCUUAUAUAAAUAUACCUCGCCGGUAGUCUUUGUUAUUUCAAGAUCAACAUUGUAUUCGUCAUCAUAAUCAUUGUCUGCGUCAUCAUAAUCAUAAUCAUAGUUCAUGACUUCAUCAGCUCGGUCGUCGAGAUUGAAUAUCUUAUCAUCACCCUCCCCGGUAUUGUUCAGAUAUUGGGAGCCGUCAUUUGCUUCAUUUAGAUCAUCUGGCCUGCUAGGGCUGCGUAUGAUCUCGAACAGGGCCUCUUCUCCCUCUCUGCCGGUAUUGUCCGCCAUAGCUUUUAUUUAACUAAUACAAAAGAAAUAUAAAACAAUUAAGUAUUCAAAUUACAAUGCAUGGAUGCAAUCAAUAAGGAAAAACUGAAUCAUAUAGUACAUAAUAUGCAUCGUCUCGAAUAAUAUAUAAUCUCGAAUACAUCGUCUCGAAUAAUAUAUAAUCUCAAAUACAUCACUGGCUAGGUAGCUAAUAAAGAUCGAAUACUAUAGAAGAAUCUAGGCCACUCGCGGUUCCUGGGGCGCGGGCGGUGGACACCCAAAGACAAGGAACCAUCACAGAAUCAUAUCUCUGGUCAUCUGCCCAAAGAACCUGCCAGGUAUUGGAGAACCUGACGUCCAUAGCAGCCAUGUAGCGAUGGACGUGCUCGUCCUCCUCCCUGACACGACGACGCACCACCUCUGGCGGGGCCGGCUCCCUCUGCACCGAAUGUGGCCCACGCGAACGCCACUAAAGGAGAUCAGGGUCGACAACGGGACCCGAGGCUGGGUCCCUCACCAAGCGGCGCGCCCCUCCAGGUAGCACCUCCCAAUGCCAGCCCGGCGGAGCCCAAUCCCGGACAUGGGUCAGCCGGACGUCGUCGCGAACGGGUCGACGGCGAGGAUGCAGGCCGGGCAUCGUCGAGAACAAAUACUAUAUGCCCGCAAAAAGUAACAUUUUUUAAAAGAUUGGAUUGUGAUAACUAAAAUUCUAUAUGCAAAUUCUAACAAUUUGACAUUAAUCUAAUUCAUCUAACUAAAACUAAUUCUAAAAUUUCUAACAUUUCUAUAUAUAUAACUAACAUUUCUAUAACAUUUCUAAUAUUUCUAUAACUAAAAAACAGAAAAAUUGCUACGAUGACGCGGAUGGCGACGAGGGGGGCAGCGACGGGGGCGGCGACGACGGGGACGGGGACGGCCGGGGCGGCGACAACGGNNNNNNNNNNNNNNNNNNNNNNNNNNNNNNNNNNNNNNNNNNNNNNNNNNNNNNNNNNNNNNNNNNNNNNNNNNNNNNNNNNNNNNNNNNNNNNNNNNNNNNNNNNNNNNNNNNNNNNNNNNNNNNNNNNNNNNNNNNNNNNNNNNNNNNNNNNNNNNNNNNNNNNNNNNNNNNNNNNNNNNNNNNNNNNNNNNNNNNNNNNNNNNNNNNNNNNNNNNNNNNNNNNNNNNNNNNNNNNNNNNNNNNNNNNNNNNNNNNNNNNNNNNNNNNNNNNNNNNNNNNNNNNNNNNNNNNNNNNNNNNNNNNNNNNNNNNNNNNNNNNNNNNNNNNNNNNNNNNNNNNNNNNNNNNNNNNNNNNNNNNNNNNNNNNNNNNNNNNNNNNNNNNNNNNNNNNNNNNNNNNNNNNNNNNNNNNNNNNNNNNNNNNNNNNNNNNNNNNNNNNNNNNNNNNNNNNNNNNNNNNNNNNNNNNNNNNNNNNNNNNNNNNNNNNNNNNNNNNNNNNNNNNNNNNNNNNNNNNNNNNNNNNNNNNCGGGGGCGGCGGGCGACGGGGCAGAGGAGAAGAAGCAGAUGAAAACUGACGAAAUUUCUAAGUGCUGCUUAUAUAGGAUGGGCCUUUAGUACCGGUUGGAGCCACCAACCGGGACUAAAGGUCAAAUUUGGCCAGCCCAAGCGGCGGGAAGCGCACCCCUUUAGUACCGGGUGGUGGCACCAACCGGUACUAAAGACCCCCCUUUAGUACCGGUUGGAGCCACCACCCGGUACUAAAGGGUGUGCGCUGCUAGGCGAGGGGCGCAGAAGUUUAGUCCCACCUCGCUAGUUGAGGAGCGCCAGGACCAGUUUAUAAGCCCCGAUGCGGGCACUGCAUUGAGCUCCUCUCAAUAGUAGGCCUUCUGGGCCUACCUCUCCUACUCUGCCUGUGGGCCUACUGGGCUUGCGGGCCUGCAUCCUGGCCCAACUACAGGUUGGGUUUCUAGUCGUAUGCAGGCCGCUCUGGCCGAGUAGGUGGGCUUUUUUAUUUUCUUUUUUUUUUACUUUAUUUAUUUUUGAGUUGUUUUUUGCUGUAUUUAGAGUUUCUUUGGGAAUAUUUUUGCUUUAGGUACAAAAAAUUACAAAGUUUCUGUUAAUGCCGGUAGUUUACAAAUUUGAAUAGUUUAUAUUUUGAAUUAUUUGAAAUUUGUGUGAAUCACUAGUUUGUGAAUAACUUAACUUUGAAAAUAGAUUUUCAGUGAUUCUUUUAUCUUAUGUUUAAUAUUAGUGUGUUUUAUCAUUAUAUUCAAUUUGGUAAUGCUUAGGUUAUUUAAAAAAUGAAAUCCCUUUGUAACGGAUGAGUUUUUGUCCGAAACCCUGAUACUUCGAAAGAGAUUGUCCAUUUUAUACACGAAGUGCAUCCAGUUUUUGCGGUAACCCUCUCUAUUUUUUUGCACAUGCUAUAUGGGUGAAAUUAUGAUACCAUGCCAACUUUCAACCUUUUCUGAGUUCAUUUGAAAUGCUUUUCAAUUUCAGGGUCAUUUAGCUGAAAAAAUCAGUAAAUGCAUGAAAGAAUUUGUUUGCACAUAAAAUUUCUUCGCGUUUCAAAUGUCAAAACACAUAACUACCCUAACUAUUACAGAGAUUCCUUCCUGGGUGUGAAACACAGAAGAAAUUGAUGAUAGUGAAGCCGAUCACAUCCCAGAUCUUUGGGUGUGUAACUUUUUCUUCGCAUAUGUCCCUUUGCGCCGUAGCCAUGGAAAAUCUUCAUCAUUUAACUGGAUGCUCGGGUCAAUAUUCACUGUGAAUGGAGCAAUUUCAUCAAUCUUUUCAUAAUCUUCUGACAUGUCUGUCUUGUCAUCCACUCCCACGAUGUUUCUCUUCCCAGAAAGAACUAUGUGGCGCUUUGGCUCAUCGUAUGAUGUAGUCGCUUCCUUGUCUUUUCUUUUUCUCGGCUUGGUACACAUAUCCUUCACAUAGAAAACGUGUGCCACAUCAUUAGCUAGGACGAAUGGUUCAUCUGCAUACGCAAGAUUGUUGAGAUCUACUGUUGUCAUUCCAUACUGCGGGUCUUCCGUUACCCCAUAUCGUGUCAUAUUGACCCAUUUGCACCGAAACAAAGGGACCUUCAAAUCACGUCCAUAGUCAAGUUCCCAUAUCUCCUCUAUGUAACCAUAAUAUGUUUCCUUUCCCGUCUUGGUUGUUGCAUCAAAGCAGACACCACUGUUUUGGUUGGUGCUCUUCUUAUCUUGGGCGAUCGUGUAAAAUGUAUUACCAUUUAUCUCGUACCCUUUGAAAGUCAUUAUAUUCGUAGAUGGUAACUAGGACAGCGAGUACACAUCAUCUUCAAUAGAGGCGUCAUGCAUGGUACGUGUCUGCAACCAGCCGGCGAAACUCCUGGUUUGUUCACGUGUAAUCCAGUCAUCAGACCGCUCCGGGUGUUUGGAGCGUAGAAAAUUCUUGUGUUCGUCCAUAUACGGAGCCACCAAGGCGGAAUUCUGUAUAACUGUGUAGUGUGCUUCAGUGAGAGAAUGUCCGUCCAUACAUAUUUUUUGAUUCCCUCCUAGCGUGCCUUUUCCAUCUAGUCUGCCCUUAUGCCGCGAUUCAGGAACACCAAUCGGCUUAAGGUCAGGAAUAAAGUCAAUACAAAACUCAAUGACCUCCUAAUUUUCAUGGCCCUUGGAGAUGCUUCCUUCUGGCCUAGCACGGUUAUGAACAUAUUUCUUUAAGACUCCCAUGAACCUCUCAAAGGGGAACAUAUUGUGUAGAAAUACAGGACCCAAAACACUAAUCUCUUCGCAUAGGUGAACUAGGACGUGCGUCAUGAUGUUGAAGAAGGAUGGUGGGAACACCAACUCAAAACUGACAAGACUAAUCGAACGUUGAGGAAUGCACGCAUAGCUUCACAAUGGCUAAUCGAACGUUAUCCGGUAGAAGCCCCCUCAAUGCAACCGGAAGCAGUUGCGUCAUAAUCACGUGGCAGUCAUGAGACUUUAGGUUCUGGAACUUUUUCUCUGCCAUGUUUAUUAUUCCCUUUAUAUUCGACGAGAAGCCAGACGGUACCUUAAUACUGAGCAGACAUUCAAAGAAGAUUUCCUUCUCUUCUUUGGUAAGAGCGUAGCUGGCAUGACCCUGAUGUAUGCCGUCUUUUCCAUGCAUACGUUGCUAGUCCUCCCGUGCCUCAGGUGUAUCUUUUGUCUUCCCAUACACGCCCAAGAAGCCAAGCAGGGUCACGCAAAGAUUCUUCGUCACGUGCAUCACGUCGAUUGCAGAGCGGACCUCUAGAUCUUUCCAAUAGGGCAGGUCCCAAAAUAUAGAUUUCUUCUUCCACAUGGGUGCGCGUCCGUCAGCAUCAUUCGGAACAGGUUGUCCGCCAGGACCCUUUCCAAAGACUACCUUCAAAUCCUUGACCAUAUCAUGUACAUCAGCACCAGUACGGUGGCGAGGCUUCGUCCGGUGAUCCGCCUCACCUUUGAAAUGCUUGCCUUUCUUUCUUACGGGAUGCCUGCUCGGAAGAAAUCGACGAUGUCCUAGGUACACAUUCUUCCUACAAUUGUCCAAAUAUAUACUGUCGGUAUCAUCCAAACAGUGCGUGCAUGCGCGGUAUUCCUUGUUUGUCUGUCCUGAAAGGUUACUGAGAGCAGGCCAAUCAUUGAUGGUCACGAACAGCAAGGCCUUUAGGUCAAAUUCUUCCCCCAAGUGCUCAUUCCACGCACGUACACCUGUUCCAUUCCACAGCUGUAAGAGUUCUUCAACUAAUGGCCUUAGGUACACAUCAAUGUCGUUGCCGGGUUGCUUAGGGCCUUGGAUGAGGACUGGCAUCAUAAUGAACUUCCACUUCAUGCACAACCAAGGAGGAAGGUUAUACAAACAUAGAGUCACAGGCCAGGUGCUAUGGUUGCUGCUCUGCUCCCCAAAAGGAUUAAUGCCAUCUGCGCUUAGACCAAACCAUACGUUCCUUGCGUCAUCUGCAAACUCCUUCCCGUACUUUCUCUCAAUUUUUCUCCACUGCGACCCGUCAGCGGGUACUCUCAACUUUCCGUCUUUCUUACGGUCUUCUCUGUGCCAUCGCAUCGCCUUGGCAUGCUCUUUGUUUUGGAACAAACGUUUCAACCGUGGUAUUAUAGGAGCAUACCACAUCACCUUGGCAGGAAUCUUCUUCCUGGGGCACUCGCCCUCGACAUCACCAGGGUCAUCGCGCCUGAUCUUAUAGCGCAAUGCACCGCAUACCGGGCAAGCGUUCAAAUCCUCGUACUCACCGCGGUAGAGGAUGCAGUCAUUAGGGCAUGCAUGUAUCUUCUGCACCUCUAACCCUAGAGGGCAGACAGCCUUCUUUGCUUCGUACGUACUCUCGGGCAAUUCGUUGUCCUUUGGAAGCAUAUUCUUUAUCAUUACCAGCAACUUUCCAAAUCCCUUGUCAGAUACACCAUUCUCUGCCUUCCAUUGCAGCAAUUCCAGUGUGGUGCCCAACUUUUUCUUGUCAGCUUCGCAAUUCGGGUACAACAAUUUCUUGUGAUCCUCUAACAUGCGCUGCAACUUCUUCUCCAAAUCACUUGCGCAGUUUCUCUUUGCAUCGGCAAUGGCCCGACCUAGAUCAUCAGCGGGCUCAUCUGAUGCCUCUUCUUCAGCUUCUUCCCGCAUUGCCGGCUCAGCUUCUUCCCUCAUUGUUGUAUCAUCGUAUUCAGGGAACCCAUGGCCAGGAUAGUUGUCGUCGUCCUCUUCUUCUUCAUUGUCUUCCAUCAUAACCCCUCUUUCUCCGUGCUUGGUCCAAACAUUAUAGUGGGGCAUGAAACCAGGACUUAAACAGGUGGACGUGAAUGGUUCUUGACGUAGAGUAAUUGUGAUCAUUCUUACAGACUAAACAUGGACAAGGCAUAAAACCAUCCGCCCGCUUGUUUGCCUCAGCCGCAAGCAGAAAAGUUUGCACGCCAUUAAUGAACUCGGGAGAGCAUCGGUCAUCGUUCAUCCAUUGUCGGCUCAUCUUCAUUACACAACACCGAAUAGACCAAAUUAAUACAAGUUCAUACAUAAAGUUCAUACAAGCCUUAAAUGCAACAAACAAAUAACUCUCUAACUAAAAAAUUUAAAUGCAACAACAAAUGCGAUCAAGAUCGCAACUAAGGUGACAAUUGAUCCAACAACAUAAUGAUACCAAGCCUCACUAUCAAUGGCAUAUUUUCUAAUCUUUCUAAUCUUCAAACGCAUUUUCUCCAUCUUGAUCUUGUGAUCAUCGACGACAUCGGCAACAUGCAACUCCAAUUCCAUCUUCUCCCCCUCAAUUCUUUUCAAUUUUUCUUUCAAAUACUCGUUUUCUCUUUCAACUAAAUUUAACCUCUCGACAAUAGGGUCGGUUGGAAUUUCCGGUUCACAAACCUCCUAGACAAAAAUAUCUAUGUCAACUUGAUGGGCAUAAUUUGUCAUAAACACGAAAUGCAACAACUAGUUUUAAAAGAGAAUAUACCACAUCCGAAUCAUAAUAAGGAUGAGGGCCGACGGGGACGGAUAUCAAAACCAUGGCACUAUGUAUAACAAACAAUGUACGGGUAAGAUAAUUAUACGAGUAACUAUAUAUCCAAAUCACACAAACAUCAAUUUGGUAAUGUAAAACAUUCAUGAACAAGAGGCUCACCACAAGGUGGUGCCGGCGACGGAACGGUGUGGGCGAUCGACUGUGGUUACGAUAGAGAUUUAGAAGGCACUAAGUAAACCACACCUACAUAUGCAAACUAAGUGUUAGUUUUGACCACAAAUUGCAUAUAAGUCAAAUACUAGCACAUAUAUUUUCUACCAAAUUACUAAACUCAUAAAUUAAUCACUAUACAAAGCAUUGCAAGAGCUAAUCUAGCAAUGAGAGAUGAAAGGACAAAGUUGCUAACCUUUGUGGUCAUUUGAAUGGAUGGGGGCCUUCAAAUCUUGACAAAUUUUGGGCAAAAUGUGUGAUGAGCUCGAGAGGAAGAGGGGAAGAACAUAGAGGAGAGGGGAAAGGGGAAGAACAGAGCGAGCUCGGGUGGACGAAAGGCUUAUGUACGACGACCUUUAGCAUCGGUUCGUGCCACGAACCGGUACUAAAGGUGCUGGAGGGGCCCCGGACUGACAACAUCCUUCCACCUCUCACUUUAGUACCGGUCCGUAGCACGAACCGGUGCUAAAGGUCGGCCACGAACCAGUACUAAUGAAAGCAGCUGGCUAGCCGUUGGAACCGGCACUAAUGCACACAUUAGUGCCGGCUCAAAAGCAAACCGGCACUAAUGUGCUUGACAUUUGACCCUUUUCUACUAGUGAUUCAAGUAAAUAGAUGCCUAAUGCAUGUUGAAAUAAAAGUUUGCUUUACAUUCUGUUUGCACAAUUGUGUUUUUUACAAAGUCUUUAAAACAAGACCAAUAUUGAAUAUAUUUUUAGAAAUUAAUUUUUGACAACUAAAUCACCAUGCUUCGAACUUGUUCCAUACAUAUUUAUUAAUUCCAUGUGAAAAUUUUAAUAAUGUACAUUUCACAAAUUAUUAUCUUAUUGUUUCACUAUGGCUCCCCAUGUUCCGUUGCAUUUCAUAAUGAUACAUUGUGUGCCAAUGUGUAUCAAACUGAUUCUUAGUAAUCUAAAAGUUUGUAAAUAUUAAUAUAUUUUAUUGCAACAAAACUUUGGCCUUAUCUAGUGUUUAACAAAACAUGGCAUAGUUAUGUGUACUCUUAUAGUGUUUCACUAUGUUUCAGAAUUUAAAUUUUAAAAAUUAUUGAAAUAUAUUCAAAAGUGGUCUCUUUUCAAAGGUCUCGUUGUCAAAAACACAAAUAUGAAACCGGAUCAUAAAUUGUACUUUUGGUUCAUAAGACCAAUUAGAUUUGAACUUGGAAAUAAAAUGAAAAAGUAUGAAAUGGUGGAACGUAGGUGGAACAGUGUACUUGCAUGUGAUGAAAGAAAUAACUAACUAACUGCCAGCGGUAUAAAUGCAUGGCAUCGGAUCUCCAAACAAACCAACGGCGCAUGCAUGCACGGUACCUCCCGUGCAUGGGAGAUUAGCUUUUCUCUAUUUUGGGGGAUACUGUGCCAGUUCAGACUUGGCGUUUGGCAGCGUGGCCUGUUCAUGUGUUUGAUUGGGCGUAGUAGUGUGUGGGUACUUCAGUUAGAUGGUAUGCAGCGGAUCGAGUCUAUCGACCGUGUGGCGAUGCCUGUAGAUUGUAGCACUAAAAUAUGAUGCUCAUUCAUAAACUAAUUUAGAUAAAGCCGCAAAAAAAAUGUGCUAGUUUUUUUUUGUGCUCACAUACUCUGUUUUGUCUCAGUUUUAGUCCAGGGCAACUUUGAAGCUUAUCUUAGGGUGGUAGCCAGAAAAAUGUGUUAAAGACCUUAUUAAGAAGUGAAGAAGAAUAGGCGUCUCCAGUUUUUGUUUCUCCAACUCUAUGCCUACACUGUAAUAUUAUUGAUGGAUUAGCUCCAGUUGAUGCAACUGUACUCUUUCUGGUAGGUCUGAGAUGCGAGUGAGCCAGAUCGAUCCUGAGCUAGCUACUUGUCUCCCUUAAGUCUUACAGCAAGACAAAUGCACUGGACUACAAAGAGGAAAUUCCUGCAGGUUCGUAAUGCAUCUGUUUUGGUUCUGGCAUUUGUCAGAUGUGUAUAGUCCCUUUUCGGUUCUUUCCCGUUGUAUAAGGGGUUUCCUGCAUUUCACCACACAUGUAUAUGUAAUGGCCUUUGACCCUCAGUGAAUACUAGUUGCUGUUUAUCCAACAUGGUAUCAGAUGUUAGGUUCCUCUCUCUCCUGCACGCUGCAACUCCGUGCUAGCUCGCCUCCCCUGAUUCGCUUCGUCCCCUUGCCAUCCGGCUGAUGCUGCUCUCUGGCCGAUUCCGGCUGCCCCCGACCUGAGCUCCGCCCGGUCCUCCUCGUCGUGGAUCCGCCGGGGCCUGCUCGAUCCGGCCUCCCCGGCCUAUCCACGGCCAGGCUCGGCCACCCCUCGCCGCGGAUCCAACCGGGACCUGCUCGUCCCGUGCUCGGCCGUAGCCCUCCUUGCCGCUCGGCCACCCCGCGGAUCCGCCUAUGCCCGACCGGGGCCCUCCUCGCCGUGGAUCCGGUCUCUCCGGCCCGUCCAAUGCCAGGCUCGGCCCGGCCGCCGCCGCCUCCUGCCGGCCGGCCGCCGUCGCCCCUUUCUCCGCCUCGCCUUGGAUCCGGCCGGGGUCUGCUCGUCCCGUGCUCGUCGGGUCCUUGCUUGGCCGCUCGUCUGCCUGGCCGCUCGUCCCGUGCUCCUGCACUCGGGUUCGGCCCUCUGUGGUCAAUGUGUGUUGCCUAUAGUUGACCCUGUGUAAAAAAACCCAAUGAGCUCGUCAUGUCUCCGUCAGGCUAUGUGGCUGUUCCUCGGUGCUCGGUGAUCUUCGAUGGCACCAACUAUGCUGAGUUUGUGGGUUUCAUGCGCAUUCACAUGCGUGGUCUUCUCCUGUGGGGCGUUCUCUCUGGCGAGGUUCCAUGUCCGCCUUGCCCUGUUGCUCCUGUGGCUCCUAUCCCGCCGGUGCCGCCUGUUCUUGCUGUUGAUGCUUCUCAGGCUGAUCGGGAUACAGCCAAGGCCCUUGACGAUGCCGCGGUUGAUGCUUAUGAUCAGCAGGUAUCCGCCUACUCAGAUGCUCUUUCUGCUUACCGAAACGAUUUGUCUGCUUACACUCAGUGGUGCAACGAUGAUGCUCGAGCUACUGCUGUUCUCACUUCGAGUGUCUUACCUCAGUUUGCAUCUGAGUUCAUGGGUCUCAGUAUUGUUGCUGCGAUGUGGUCCUAUCUUUGUCAGUGAUAUCAGCCCUCUGGUGAUGCUCUCUACUUAUCUGUGGUGCAUCAGGAGCACGCUCUUCACCAGGGUGACCCUUCUGUUGAUGAGUUCUACUCACAGAGCUCUGCCAUCUGGCGCCAGAUUGACUCUCUCAGGAUAGUUGUUUGUGGUUCUUGCCGUUGUUGCCAGACUGUACGGUCAGACUUGGAGUUUCAUCGUCUCCAUGAGUUCUUAUCUCACCUUCAUCCAGAGUUUGAGCCUCGGCGUGCUCACCUGCUUGCUCGUGGUCGUGUUCCUAUUUUGGAGGUGCUUGUAGAGCUUCCUGCCGAGGAGACACGCCUCCGUUCUGCUGGUCUGCUUGUGGUUCCCACUGUGCUUGCUGCCCGAGCUCCUGUGUCGUCUGCUCGCCUCACCACUCGACCACUCCUGCCCACACCUCCAGGGGGUGGUUCACCCUCCUUCAGGCGAGGGUCGAUCGCGCUCGCACACCUUCCGUGGCUACUGCAACAGGCCAGGUCACCCAAAGUCUGAUUGUCACAAGAAGCGGAAAGACCUGAAGCGCUCUUCUUCUAGUGGGACUCGUGCGUCUUCCUCGACUUCGUCGCUCAUUGACCAGGAUAUUGUGCGGCUCAAGCGCAUGUUGGCUUCCUCUGGUUCUUCCUCGACGGGUUCUGUUGCCGCUGUGACUACCACUACCACUCCGCCGCCGUCGGAGCCUACUCAGUGAGGUACAUCCUCGUGGGUUCUGGAUUCUGGAGCUUCUUUCCAUAUGUCUUUUGACUCUUCUGCUUUAUCUUCUCUUCGACCUCUUGAUUUUCCUCUUAAUGUUCUCACUGCCGAUGGCACACCCCUUCCUGUUACUAGUCGUGGCAUUCUUUCCACUCCGUCUUUUUCGGUUCCUAGUGUUUCUCAUGUUCCUCGUCUUACCAUGAAUCUUUUUUCCGCUGCCCAACUUACUGAUUCUGGUUGUCGUGUCAUUCUUGAUGCCGACUCUUGUUCUGUUCAGGAUCGUCGCACUCAGGCUCUGGUUGGCGCUGGCCCUCGGCGCGGUGAGUCUAAGGGACUUUGGGAGGUUGACUGGCUUCGUGUUCCUUCCGCUGCUACCACAUACACCAGCUCUCAUGCUCUUGUUGCCUCCUCUUCUGCGUCCUUCCAGCAGUGGCAUCAUCGACUUGGUCACAUCUGUGGCUCUCGCUUGUCCUCCUUAGUUCACCAAGGCGUCUUAGGGUCUGUCUCUGGUGAUGUUUCGUUGCAUUGUGAUGGUUGUAGGCUUGGAAAACAGACUCAGUCACCUUAUCCUACCAGUGAGUCUAUAUCUCAGCGUCCUUUUGACUUAGUUCAUUUUGAUGUAUGGGGUCCUGCUCCUUUUGACUCGAAAGGGGGUCAUCGCUAUUAUGUUUUGUUUAUUGAUGAUUUCUCUCUCUACACUUGGCUUUAUUGUAUGAAAUCUCGCAGCGAGGUUCUCCCCAUAUACAAGCGUUUUGCUGCCAUGGUUCGCACUCAAUUUUCCACGCCUGUCCGUAUCUUCCGUGCUGACUCAGCUGGAGAGUAUAUCUCUCACAUGUUGCGUGGUUUUCUUGCGGAGCAGAGUACUCUUGCCCAAUUCUCUUGCACUGGUGCACAUCCUCAGAAUGGCGUUGCUGAACACAAACAUCGCCAUUUGCUUGAGACGGCUCGGGCGAUGAUGAUCGCCGCCUCUCUUCCACCCCAUUUUUGGGCUGAGGCCGUUUCAGUAUCCACCAGCUCGUCAACAUUCAGCCAUCGGCUGCCUUGAAGGGUGGUAUUCCUAUGGAGCGUCUCUUUGGUCCUGACUACUCUGCUCUUCGCAUGUUUGGAUGCAUGUGCUAUGUUCUCCUUGCUCCGCGAGAACGAACCAAGUUGACUGCUCAGUCAGUUGAGUGUGUUUUCCUUAGCUAGAGUGAUGAGCACAAGGGCUAUCGCUGUUGGGAUCCUGUUGGUCACCGACUGCGCAUUUCGCGUGAUGUGACUUUUGAUGAGUCUCGUUCUUACUAUCCGCAUCCCUCCUCCUCGAGCUUUUCCGUGGAAGAUAUUUCCUUUCUUCUCCUUCCCGACACAUCUCCCUCUGUGUCUCCUGUUAUUCCCUCUCCCCCGAUGAGUCUCCCUACACCAUCGGUACCAUCAUCCCCUCCCUCCUCCUCCUGUCCCUCGUCAUCUCCCUCCCCACCCUCCUCCCCAGUCUUUCGCCCUCACUCCCCUUCUCCUCUCCACUACACUCGUCAUCCUCAUGCUGUGGAUGAUCCUACUGAUGUGCCCUCUACUUCCGGUGCACCUCCUCUCACGCCUACACCGGUCCAUAACCUUUGCGUUAGGCCUUGUCCCCCACCUGAUCGCUAUUCUCCUGACCAGUAUGGUCUUUCUGCCAUUGCUGAGCCCACCACCUAUCGAGCUGCCAUGACUCGGCCUGAAUGGCAGCUUGCCAUGGCCGAGGAGCUUGCGGCGCUUGAGCGCAAUGGCGCGUGGGAUCUGGUUUCUCCUCCUUCUGGUGUUUGUCCCAUCACGUGCAAGUGGGUCUAUAAGAUUAAGACUCGCUCUGAUGGUUCUCUUGAGCGUUACAAAGCUCGUCUUGUGGCUCGUGGCUUUCAGCAGGAACAGGGGCGUGAUUAUGACGAGACUUUUGCUCAUGUGGCCCAUAUGACCACUGUCCGCACUCUACUUGCUGUGGCUUCUGUUCGUCAUUGGCCUGUGUCUCAGCUUGACGUUCAGAACACCUUUCUCAAUGGCGAGUUGCGUGAGGAGGUUUAUAUGCAGCUACCACCGGGGUACUAUGCUCCUGAUGGUAUGGUCUGUAGACUUCGCCGCUCCCUCUAUGUGUAGGAUCGGAAGUAUGUCUAGAGGGGGGGGGGGUGAUUAGACUACUUGACCAAAUAAAAAUCUAGCCUUUUCCCAAUUUUAGUUCUUGGCAGAUUUUAGCAACUUAGCACAAGUCAAACAAUCAACCUACACAUGCAAUUCUAAGAGUAUAGCAGCGGAAAGGUAAAGCAAUUGCAUAUGAAGGUAAAGGGAUGAGUUUGAGGGAGCAAACGCAAUGUUGACAUAGAGAUUUUUUAUCCGUGGUUCCGAUAGGUGGUGCUAUCGUACAUCCACGUUGAUGGAGACUUCAACCCACGAAGGGUAACGGUUGCGCGAGUCCACGGAGGGCUUCACCCACGAAGGGUCCACGAAGAAGCAACCUUGUCUAUCCCACCAUGGCCGUCGCCCAUGAAGGACUUGCCUCACUAGGGUAGAUCUUCACGAAGUAGGCGAUCUCCUUGCCCUUACAAACUCCUUGGUUCAACUCCACAAUCUUGUCGGAGGCUCCCAAGUGACACCUAGCUAAUCUAGGAGACACCACUCUCCAAGAAGUAACAAAUGGUGUGUUGAUGAUGAACUCCUUGCUCUUGUGCUUAAAAUGAUAGUCUCCCCAACACUCAACUCUCUCUCAUAGGAUUGGAUUUGGUAGAAAGAAGAUUUGAGUAGAAAGCAACUUGGGAAGGCUAGAGAUCAAGAUUUAUGUGGUUGGAAUGGAAUAUCUUGAACUCAACACAAGUGUAGGUGGUUCUCUCUCAGAAAAUAUGUAUUGGAAGUGUAGGCAUGUUCUGAUGGCUCUCUCCACGAAUGAAGAGUGGGUGGAGGGGUUUAUAUAGCCUCCACACAAAAUCUAACUGUUACACACAAAUCACCAAACUCGGUGGGAGCGAUUCAAAGAACUCGGUCAGACCGAUUUGGUUCAUAAUGUGAACGUUAGGAUUCUCGGUGGGACCGACAUGUCAACUCUGUGGGACUGAUGUCAUUAGGGUUAGGGCAUAACGUAAUCUCGGUGAGACCGAUUACACAAACUCGGUGAGUCCGAUUUUGGUAAUAGCCAAACAGAGUGUUGGUCUGGCAAACUCGGUGGGACCGAUUCGCUCAUCUCGGUUGGACCGAAAUGUUACGAAAGGGAAACAGAGAUUUUGCAUUGUAAUCUCGGUGGGACCGAUCGCUCAUCUCGGUUUGACCGAAACGUUACGAAGGGAAACAGAGAGUUUGCAACCCCAUCUCGGUGAGACCGAGAUCCCUAUCGGUGAGACCGAAUAGAUUAGGGUUUCUGGCAGUGGCUAUGUCAACUGAACUCGGUGGCUCUGGAUGGAAAGAAUCGGUGGGGCCGAGUUGGACUUUUUGGUUUAGGACAUAUGUGGAUAUGAGAAAGUAGUGGAGGGUUUUGGAGCAUAUCACUAAGCAUUUUGAGCAAGAAUCUCAUUAAGCAACACCUCAUCCCUUCUUAAUAGUAUUGGCUUUUCCUAUAGACUCAAUGUGAUCUUGGAUCACUAAAAUGAAAAAUGUAGAGUCUUGUGCUUUGAGCUUGAGCCAAUGUUUUGUCCUUAGCAUUUUGAAGGGUCCACUUCCUAAUCCAUGCCAUGCCAAACAUUGAGCUUUCCUAAAAUAUUUAUCUUGGAAUAGCAUUAGCUCAGUGAGCUAUAUGUUGUUAGGAAUUACCAAAACCACCCAGGGAUAGUUGCACUUUCAAUCUCCCCCUUUUUGGUAAUUGAUGACAACAUAUAGAUCAAAGCUUCGACAAAUGAUAAAUAAGAUUGAAAAACAUCGUCGCUUUGAGAAGUAUGUGAUAAGCAAGAGCUCCCCCUAAAUUUGUGCAUUAUUUAAGAUUUGCUUUUGAAUGCAAAUGCACAAUCGAUUAGGAUCAUGGGUUACUCUUCCAUGUCACAUACAUCUUGGUGGAGCACUCAAAUGAUAGAGAUUAAAAGCAUGCACUCAUCACCAAGCAAAGUGAAUGAUCAUAAUAGGAUAUGAAAGAUAGCAUUAUCCAACAAGCAUUAAGGGUAGCAUAUGAUCAAACACUUGACCAAAUAAGUAUCUCACAAGGACACAAAGUAGUAUCACACAAGCACGCAGUAAAGUUUCAAACCAACCAAAAAAGAGUGCAAAGAGAGAUAAAAACCAACACUCUCUCUCUCGAAGCCUAUGAUCUAUACAUUUUUCUCCCCCUUUGGCAACAAGUUACCAAAAAGUUUGAAAAUGCAUAGUUCUAAACGACUCUCAGGCUUGAUCUUCGGGAGGUGGUGUUGAGAGAACGCCAAGGACGAAGGCUUCUGAUGAAGUGGCUGGAGCUGGUGGAGUAGCUACUGGCGUUGGAACUGGAGCUGUGGCUGCUGGUGCUGAUGUUGUAGCUCUAGUGUCUGUCACUGGCACUGCAGUAGAUCUCUGUCCUCUGGGCACUCUAGCAAAUGCAUCUGUGGUAGACUUGCCCUUCUUCUCCUCUGCUUCCUCCUGAGGUUGCUCAACUGCUCUUUGGAUCUCAGUUACCUUGACAUCAAGGUCAUAGAAUUUUGUCUCAACAAUCCUUUCCAAGCUCUCCUGGUUCUUGGUCAGGGUGGCCAAGCCCUGCUCAAUCCUCAGAGUGGAUUGGAUCAGAUAUGCAAGCUGGUCGUGCUUGCUCUUCAAGAAUACAUGAGAUGCCUCUUCCAUAGUUGGCAUCUUUGCAACUUUCGCAGCUUUAGCCUUCUCUCUCUUUUCUUGUGCUUGCACAAAUGAUGGUUCAUUCUCAGUCAUGACAACAGUGUUGUCCUCAAAUUCAGGAUAGAUGGGUAGAUGCUCCUUGUCCAAGAUGUACUUGCCUUUGCCCAUCUUUGAGUUGAUGAGCUCCUGGAUGUGUGGGGCAUAUCCACAACUUCGCUUCUGAUCGGCUGCAGUCCUCUUGAUUGUUUCCACAAUCAGGCUCAUAACCUUGAAUUUUUGUGGGACAUCAAAUAUGUGCAGCAAGUUGAUAGCAUGUCCUCUGAUCAUCUUGUGAUCACCUGACUUGGGUAGAAGUGUGUGCCUCAGAAUCCAAUUGAUUGUUGGCAGACCAGACAACAAAUAGUGUACAGAUCCAAACUUAUGUGUGUCCAAAGCAUCAUCAGGGAUCUCUUCGUACAUAUUUGCCAUAGAGUUGUGGUCUUUCUUCUUCUUGUCAUAGACAUCCAAGUCAUCCUCAUGUUCCUCAGGAGCAUUUAUUAGUUUUGCCCAUUCUUCAACUGUAAACUGGUACCUAGUACCCUCAGACAUCCACACAAUCCUUCCAUCUGGAUAGAAGUGUGCAGUGGAGUAAAAUUGCAUAAUGAGCUCAUCAUUCCACUUGGUGAACUUCCGAGCCACAAACUCAUCAACUCCACAUGCCUUGAAGUUUUCAUAUACACCAGGGAAGUGAUCCUCAUUUUCCUUAAUGAAUUUCCAAUCAACCCAUCUCAUGUCACACACUAUGGGCUUCUUGUCAAGUAAGGCAGCCUCAUAGAAGUCCUGUUGUUCCUUAGUGUGGAAUGUGUAGUCCAUAGUAGUCCUUCUCCUGGUGGCAUAUGGAUCAGACUCUCUCCAUAGCCUCAAUCCUGAAUCCUUCCUGAUUUUCAUGUUCUCUGCAACUGGGUGUGCAUCAUUGUGAUCAGGGAUCUUGGGCUUCAGCUUUCUCAAAAUGACAGAAUCAUCUUCUUCUUCUUCAGCAGCUUGAGGCACUGGGGCCUUGUUCUUCUCCUCAGCAGGGAUGUUCCUAGUGCUCCUCUUGGGUUUUGGUUUUGGAGCUGGAGCAGCAGCCUUGGGAGCAGCUUUGGGCUUAGAUGGAGCAGCCCCUGAUCUGAUUGCAUCUCCCAUGAGCUUUUGAGCUUUGGGUGCUGGUGCAGCAUCCUCUUCCUCUUCCUCUUCAGAAUCUUUCCUCAUUGAGGGCUUCCCAAGAACUCUAGAAGUAGUGGUUCUGGCCCUCUUCUUCUUCUUAUCCUCACCAGCUGCUUCUUCUUCAGAUUCAAUGGUGAACUUCAUAGUUUCACCUGUGGCAACUUUUCUUGGCUUAGACAUGGGCUGUCUUCCUGCUGGCCUCUUUGUUUUCAGACCUGGCUUAGUUGCAGCAGCUGAGCCAUACUCUUUCUUCAGCACUUUCUUCUUUGAAGUGGCUUCAUCUUCAACAGCCACAUAGUCUUCAUCCUCAGAGUCAGAAGUUCUCUUCUUCCUUGACCUGGUGGCAGCUUUUGGCAAGUUGCUUGGAGUGCUCCUGCUGCCUUCAUCAUAGCUGCUAGAGGGACUAGUGCCCUCACUCAACUGAACCUGUUCCUCUGACUUGUUCUGGCUGUCACUUUGGUCAGACAUCUUGCAGGCAAACUGUCAGCAGACCCUGUGAACAGGUUAUAGAUGAGGUAGAGUAGAUGAGCAUCACAAAGCACAGGAGUUUUUGCAAAAUAGAUGACUUAAAAACUUAGUUUUAGUUCUUCAUAGAAAGCAUUUCGGAUCUACCGUUUUGUAAACUCGGUGAUACCGAAGCAGCUUUUGGAACCUGAACUAGUGAACUCGGUCAGACCGAGUCACAGUUCGGUGGCACCGAGACUGCUAGGGUUUCACAGAGAAUUGAACUCGGUCACACCGAUUUGCAAUUUUCGGUCGGACCGAAAAUGCGUGUGCUCUGGCCUAAGCCAAAAUCGGUGAGACCGAUUUCUACAACUCGGUCGGUCCGAGAUGAAUUCGGCGGAGACCUAACCCUAAAUUUUCAAAUCAAAACUAAUCUACGGGACGUUUUCGCUGGACAGGAUGAUUUCAGUUGUGGCAAGAAACAUGGCAAAGCAAUGUGCUAAGAAUUGGAGUUAAAGAUUAGCACAAUGAUAAAGUCCGUACCCUAGUGCGGCGACGAACUUGCUACGUCGGCAACGGCGGAGAUGAUUUCCGUUGACGGCGGCGGAGACCAGCGGCGGGAGGACGCUGGCGACGAGAGGACGAUCCGGAGACCAGAGGAGGCAGAGUAGGUUACGCGCGGGCGAAGGGGUUCGGAGAAAUUUCCAAAUUUUGACCCAGCGGUAUAUAUAACCUGACCCUGUCGGUGUGACCGAGUGGAACGACUCGGUGGCACCGAGAUGCAAAACUGCAAGCAGUUACUGCAACUCGGUGUGACCGAAAUGUUCUAAUCGGUUGCACCGAGAUUGAAAACUCUAGAUCAACUUGGUGACUCGGUAGGACCGAAAAGGAUGAAUCGGUCAGACCGAGGUGCACAAAGAGGUUUGGAGGUUUAAGUCUAUGACGAAUCGGGAUCUCCGAGUGCUCCUCACACAGAGUGGUUCGAAUCUGACUUGAUCAAACUUUGUGAUGUAGCAUGAAUAGAGUUUGAGACGAGAAAAGCAUAGAUAGCUAGAGGGUGUUCUUAGGCAUUCUUGUCCAUCCAUUUGGCAAAAGAGAAAGAGCCAAACAAUCAAAACAACAAAUGGAUGUCCUCGAAUGAGUAAAAUAUGCAACCAACAUGCUCACACAAUAAAAUGGCAAAUGAAAUAUGUGAAAAAGCAUGCACAAACAUUCUAGCAUCUAUCAAGCAAUUGGCGAUGACUAGGUCAUCUAUAUAUGAGUAUAUUGACUUAGGAGUCAAAUGAGAACAUUUGAUCAUAGGUCAUACUCAUCGUUUAAGCACAAGUGGGGUUACCACUUUUACAUAAAGAAUUGUUGUGUUCACACCAUUAGAGUUGCUUUAGCUCAUUGAUUUGAGUAAAGCUCCCCCUAGAUGUGAUAUUCCCCCUAAAGGGAAUGAACUAACCUUGGGUUUUGUCGAUGAUGACUUCAUGUAGGUGUUGAAGAUGUAGAUGCUCAAUGUUGAUGUAGAUCAUUUGGAGCAAUCCUUUGGAGUGAGUUGCGCUUUCAAUACCUUGUCCCUUGUCUUACCAACAAGAGGGUUUGUGACUCCUUGAACUAGUGCAAGAUAUGGAAGUUGUUUGCACUUGUCCUUGCCAAAAUGAUAGGAGUGAAGUAUGUUGGCGGAGUCACCCUCAAGAACUCUCUAGUUCUUCUUCUUCUGGAUCCACACCAUCUUGAUGGGAACCCUUGGAGUCGUAGUUGUACUUGAUGAAGUGGAACUUGAUGUAGUCUUGGGAACCCACUUGACAAAGGCCUUAGGUGCUUCUUCAAAUGCAUCAAUUUCCUCUUGAAGCUUAUCCUUGCAUUUUUGCUUGUGGUCUUGUGGUGGAAGAUCAUCUUGAGCUUGUGUUCCUUUGAGAGAAGUAGGAUCAUACUUCUCUUGUUGAGGAACAAACUUCGUCUUGGGGUAUUGAUCUUCUUCCCACUCAACUCCAUUGGCAUCGAACUUCCGUUCAAAACCAACACCUUGAUUCUUCCGGUGUCUUCCUUGCUUGCGCACAAUUUCCUCAAAAUGCUUACUUCCGGCAAGACUCUUGUAAACACCUUUCUCUAUGAUUCCCUUCAAUAAGCUAUUUUCUUGCUCAAGUGUAACUAGGCUAAGAGAAUCAUUAGUGGAAUCAAGAGAACUACUAGAAGCAUCAACAUUGGAUUUAGCAUGAUUGUUGUUACUACUAGAUGAAGAAUCUUUCUUGUUCUUGUUGCUAGAUUUAACUUGUGGCAUGUAAGUAGACAAGAGUAAACGCUUGGCAAUGUAAGAAGAACUUUUCUUGCGAAGAUCAUCAUUGAUUGCCUUUAAAAACUCAUGCUCUUGCUCAAGGUUGAGCUUUUCAAAGCGUAGCUUAUCAUGAGUCUUUAAAAGUUCUCGAUGAUUUUCCAAGGUAGUUUCAUGAGCUAACUUAAGAGUGUUUAGUUCUUGAGUUAGACGCUCAAUCUCCUUCUUAUCUUCAUCAUUCGUUUUAUCUUGAUUAGCAUGUUUAAUUGACGUUUCAUCAUAGUUUUCUCACUAGAGUUGUCAACAAGUAAAUCAUCAUCACCUAGCAAAUCAUCUUCAUCACUAUUGAAAUCAGAAUACUCGGGAUGUGUUACCUUUGGACCUUUGGCCAUGAAGCAUCUUCCAAUUCCUUCAUUUGGUGAGUCAAAUAUAUCAUAGGAGUUGGUUGUCACAACUGUUAGACCGGGAACACCUUCAUCUUGAGUAUAUUCGGAGUCGGAGUGAUAACUUCUUUCGGAGUGAUUGUCGGAGUCGGAGCCGGAUACCCAUUCACCAACAUGAGCUUGAUGUCUUCUUUUUGUGUAGCUCCUUGAUGACUUUUCCUUUCUUUCCAAAUCCUUGCUUCUCCGAGAGGGUCUUUGUCCAUAACGAUCAUCUCUACUCCUCCUUUCUCUCGGUGGUGAUUAUUCUCUUCUACUUCUUCUUUUGGGAGAAUCUUCUCUUCUUUUGUAGGGGGCCGUACACUCAUUGGAGUAGUGUCCGGGUCUUCCACAAUUGUAGCACUUACGCUCACGACUAGAAGAUCUUUUGUCAUUGUAGGACCUUGACUUGGAACCUAUUUCUUUGCUUCUACUUUUGUAGAACUUGUUGAAGUUCUUCACCAUUAAGCUCAAUUCUUCAUUGAAGGUUUGUUUCUCACUUGAAGAUGUGGGAGUAUCACAUGAGGCUUUGUAAGCACCACUUGACUUGUUGUGAAGCUCUUCCUUAUCCUUGAGUGACAUCUCAUGAGCAACAAUUCUUCCAUUGACUUCCGUUGGCUUGAGAUCUUUGUAACUGGGCAUCAUUUGGAUCAAUGUGCACACGGUAUCAUAUUUUCCAUCCAAGGCUCUUAGGAUCUUCUUGAUGAUGAAUUUGUCGGUCAUCUCUUCACUUCCUAAGCUGGCAAUCUCAUUUGUGAUGAGAGCAAGCCUAGAGUACAUUUCAGCGAUACCUUCACCAUCCUUCAUUUUGAACUUGUCAAGUUGACUUUGAAGCACAUCCAAUUUGGAUUCCUUGACGGAGUCGGUACCUUCGUGCAUAUCAAUCAAAGUAUCCCAAAUUUCCUUUGCAUUCUCAAGACGGCUGAUUUUGUUGAAUUCUUCGGGGCACAAUCCGUUGAAGAGAAUAUCACAAGCUUGAGCAUUGUAUUGUAGCAUCUUCAACUCUUCCGCGGUAGCUUCAUGGUUCGGUUCUCUCCCAUCAAAGAAUUCACCUUGCAAGCCAAUACACACAAUAGCCCAAACGGCGGGGUUAUGUCCAAGAAUAUGCAUUUUUAUCUUAUGCUUCCAACUAGCAAAAUUAGUGCCAUCAAAGUAAGGACCUCUACGGUGGUAAUUUCCCUCGCUAGACGCCAUACUCUCCUAGGUUGUGAAACCAAGGCUAUGACCACCAAAAGCUAUGGAAAUCAAAGCAAAUGGAGACCAAAGCUCUGAUACCACUUGUAGGAUCGGAAGUAUGUCUAGAGGGGGUGAUUAGACUACUUGACCAAAUAAAAAUCUAGCAUUUUCCCAAUUUUAGUUCUUGGCAGAUUUUAGCAACUUAGCACAAGUCAAGCAAUCAACCUACACAUGCAAUUCUAAGAGUAUAGCAGCGGAAAGGUAAAGCAAUUGCAUAUGAAGGUAAAGGGAUGAGUUUGAGGGAGCAAACGCAAUGUUGACACGGAGAUUUUUUAUCCGUGGUUCCGAUAGGUGGUGCUAUCGUACAUCCACGUUGAUGGAGACUUCAACCCACGAAGGGUAACGGUUGCGCGAGUCCACGGAGGGCUCCACCCACGAAGGGUCCACGAAGAAGCAACCUUGUCUAUCCCACCAUGGCCGUCGCCUACGAAGGACUUCCCUCACUAGGGUAGAUCUUCACGAAGUAGGCGAUCUCCUUGCCCUUACAAACUCCUUGGUUCAACUCCACAAUCUUGUCGAAGGCUCCCAAGUGACACCUAGCCAAUCUAGGAGACACCACUCUCCAAGAAGUAACAAAUGGUGUGUUGAUGAUGAACUCCUUGCUCUUGUGCUUCAAAUGAUAGUCUCCCCAACACUCAACUCUCUCUCAUAGGAUUGGAUUUGGUAGAAAGAAGAUUUGAGUGGAAAGCAACUUGGGGAAGGCUAGAGAUCAAGAUUUAUAUGGUUGGAAUGGAAUAUCUUGAACUCAACACAAGUGUAGGUGGUUCUCUCUCAGAAAAUAUGUAUUGGAAGUGUAGGCAUGUUCUGAUGGCUCUCUCCACGAAUGAAGAGUGGGUGGAGGGGUAUAUAUAGCCUCCACACAAAAUCUAACCAUUACACACAAAUCACCAAACUCGGUGGGAGCGAUUCAAAGAACUCGGUCAGACCGAUUUGGUUCAUAAUGUGAACGUUAGGAUUCUCGGUGGGACCGACAUGUCAACUCGGUGGGACCGAUGUCAUUAGAGUUAGGGCAUAACGUAAUCUCGGUGAGACCGAUUACACAAACUCGGCGAGUCCGAUUUUGGUAAUAGCCAAACAGAGAGUUGGUCAGGCAAACUCGGUGGGACUGAUUCGCUCAUCUCGGUUGGACCGAAACGUUACGAAAGGGAAAAGAGAGUUUGCAUUGCAAUCUCGGUGGGACCGAUCGCUCAUCUCGGUUUGACCGAAACGUUACGAAGGGAAACAGAGAGUUUGCAACCCCAUCUCGGUGAGACCGAGAUCCCUAUCGGUGAGACCGAAUUGAUUAGGGUUUCUGGCAGUGGCUAUGUCAACUGAACUCGGUGGCUCCGGAUGGACAGAAUCGGUAGGGCCGAGUUGGACUUUUUGGUCUAGGACAUAUGUGGAUAUGAGAAAGUAGUGGAGGGUUUUGGAGCAUAUCACUAAGCAUUUUGAGCGAGAAUCUCAUUAAGCAACACCUCAUCCCUUCUUAAAAGUAUUGGCUUUUCCUAUAGACUCAAUGUGAUCUUGGAUCACUAAAAUGAAAAAUGUAGACUCUUGUGCUUUGAGCUUGAGCCAAUGUUUUGACCUUAGCAUUUUGAAGGGUCCACUUCCUAAUCGAUGCCAUGCCAAACAUUGAGCUUUCCUGAAAUAUUUAUCUUGGAAUAGCAUUAGCUCAAUGAGCUAUAUGUUGUUAGGAAUUACCAAAACCACCCAGGGAUAGUUGCACUUUCACUAUGGUCUUAAACAGGCCCCUCGCGCCUGGUUCGAGCGCUUCGCCUCUGUGGUGACUACCGCUGGUUUCUUGCCAGUGAUCAUGAUCCCGCGUUGUUUGUUCACACGUCUCCUCGUGGUCGGACUCUUCUCCUUCUCUAUGUUGAUGACAUGAUCAUCACUGGUGACGACUCUGACUACAGUGCCUUUGUUAAGGCCCGCCUUCGCGACCAGUUCCUCAUGACUGAUCUUGGUCCACUUCAAUAUUUUCUUUGGAUUGAGAUCUCCUCGACCUCUGAUGGCUUCUACAUCUCCCAGGAAAAAUACAUUCAGGAUCUUCUUGCUCGUGCUACUCUUGGUGAUGAGCGCACUGUUGUGACUCCUAUGGAGCUCAACGUUCAGCUUCGUGCCUCUGACGGUGACCCUCUUCCUAAUCCUACUCGCUAUCGCCACCUCGUUGGCAGCCUUGUCUACCUUGUUGUUACGCGUUCCGACAUCUCCUAUCAUGUUCAUAUACUGAGUCAGUUUGUUUCAGCACCCACCUCUGUCCACUAUAGUCAUCUCCUCCGUGUUCUCCGAUAUCUUCGUGGCACUUUCUCUCAUCGCCUUUUCUUUCCCCGCUCAAGCUCUCUUGAGCUCCAGGCCUACUCUGAUGCUACAUGGGCUAGUGAUCCCUCUGAUCGACGCUCGCCGUCUGCAUACUGUGUCUUUCUUGGUGGCUCUCUCAUUGCCUGGAAGACAAAGAAAUAGACUAACGUUUCUCGCUUGAGUACAGAGGCUGAGUUGCGAGCCAUGGCUAUGUUGACGGCUGAGGUGAUUUGGUUACGGUGGUUAUUUGAGGAUUUUGGAGUGCCUGCUACUACCUCGACUCCCUUACUGUCAGAACCGGUGCUAUCAGUAUUGCGCGUGACCCGGUGAAGCAUGAGCUCACCAAGCACAUCGGUGUGGAUGCCCACUUUGUGCGUGCUGCUGUGCAUGAUCAGACUCUUGCUCUUCACUAUGUUCCCUCUGAGUUAUAGUUGGCGGACUUCUUCACGAAGGCACAGACUCGAGUGCGGCAUGGUUUUCUUCUCUCCAAACUCAGUGUUGUUGAUCCACCAUGAGUUUGAGGGGGGUGUUAGAUGUGUAUAGUCCCUUUUUGGUUCUUCCCCAUUGUAUAAGGGGUUUCCUGCACUUCACCACACAUGUAUAUGUAAUGGCAUUUGGCCUUCAGUGAAUAUUAAUUGUUGUUUAUCCAACAACAUUCACGCCAAUCAUAAAACAGUGUUUGUUAGUAGUGGAGUGGUAGGCGGACGCAAAUCAAACCAUCAUUUUUCUUCUAAUUACACUUGUAAAAGCAUCGAUGCAUCUCCGUCGCUUAAUUUUAUUUGUCAUUCUGUUCAGUACCUGGUUUGGUUCAGGAAGAGCUCUUUUUCCUAUGCAAAAUGUAUAACGUAUAUGCUCCUAAUUCUGAUUGCAGACAUAUUCAUCGCGCUAGUGUUUUGACAUGACGCGGGGAACCAAGAGCCGUUCAACAGCGCGUUUCUGGGAUACGCCACCGGUCUGGCACUAAAGGUAGCGGUGAUGAUCUGGUUUCAAGCCGCGCUGCUAAUAUAUCAUGGCAUCUUGCAGCCUGCUCUGUUGCACAUCGUUCCUGGCGCAUGACUGGUUUGGUCGCCGUUCACUCUCCGUGGAAUGGAGAGGUGAAAGCGGGCAAGUAAGCCUGUCUACUUUGUCCCUUUUGUGUAGUGCUGGGAUCAGAGAAAAUAACUGGCAAUCUGGAUCAGCCUGGUUUUGAGACGCGACUUGUUUGCCACUGACUGUUUUGCGUUGGCAGUUACUGCAGUUGGAGUGGGAAGCUGGAGAGGAGGAAGAAGACGAAGGUCCCAACCGGCAGAGCAAAAAGGUGAACCAGCCCUCGCCUUUUUAAUUACUAGGAGAAAGAAACAUUGAGGCAGUAAUUUCUUCAGGCAAGAUCGAUUGGCAGCUAAUUAAGUAGGCUGGAUGGCAUUGAGAAACCCAAAAACGAUUUACAUACACAUGGUAGAUCGUCUCUCUCUCUCCUUCCACCCCUUCCUUUCAUGGCCAUCGUAGACUGCACCAUGUGGCAUUCAAACUUUUCUCAAGGGGAGAGUUUCCUCACACACACACACAUGCACAUACGCAAGCACACGCACACACGUGUAGUACAAACUUAGAAUUUUUGGAAAUAAUGGGAGGCCGAGCAACGGCCAUGUGAAAAUAUGAGGUAUAUAGCUUGUGGAUUUCCAUUCAGUGUACAAGGCCUGCAUGAGGAAUGGAUAAAGAAAUAUAUCUUUGAUUCCCUUAGUUAAAUCUUAUCCUUCAUCGUCAAUUAUGACUAAGCAUACAUAGUAAUCGCUAGUUUCUCUUAUAUGCUUCCGAGAAGAUAAGACUGGAUAUUUUAGUUGCUAUUAAUUAUUUCCCUUCUUUCGCUAAAUAGUAGUCAAACAUGUUAUUAAUGUAUUUUGUAAGGAUAAGGUCGAGCAUCAUGGCCACUAUGUUCUAUAUAUACUGAAUUUGGUGUUCAGUAUGACAUAACAAACACAUAUUGUGAGAAGGAGUAGUGUACAUUGUUCUCUAGUGCACUUUGUUCAGCAAGUUGGGUGAAAAUGUUGAAUAAACCAUCAAGUUUUCAUACAUUUUUUCAUGGCACAGGUUUGCCUUCUCAUGAUGAUGGCUGCACCGUUUGCACAAGCUGCUGGGAGGCCUGUGGCAUCCUUACCAUGGGUAGCGGGGUGUUGCCUGAGGAACUAUUUGUGUUGUGGUGUUGGUGCUGUUGCCCCGACAUCCCAUGCAUCGCAGGCCACCUCUGUACCUUGAAUUAUGGUUUCGCCUGAUCUCCUCUCAUAACAUAGUUGAUAUAACAUAGUAGCAUCACAAAGGUUGCAUGGUUUCAUUGAUUCAUCUCUUUUCUACUCCGUGAAACUUGUGAUGCCACUUUUGAACAAUGUCAUUGCUAUGUCUUCUUAUAACUAAUAAAAUGGGAGGAUAUUUUCAUAUUAUUUGAAUUGUGUUGUAACAUUACCUACUAAUGUGGAUGAUCUGAGUGGACUACAUAGAUCGGAUCUUCUAAAGAUAUAAUCUAGGACUUUGCGAGAUGAUGAAAUUGUCCUUUAUCUUGGUCGACACCUUUUCGUAGAAGUGUUGGUCGGCCGUCUGUGUCUUUUUGCGGUGCAUGCCGUAGAGUCCUCCAUGUUUUGUAGUUGUACAAUAACCUUUGAGGCAACCGGGGGUGGUACGUCUGAGGAAGUCGGUGGCCCAGGAAUAUUCAUAAUGAGAUCUCGACCAUGGAUGCCAAGUAAUUUGCCCCGUGCUGAUGUCGUCGGGCGACCCGGUCACUUAUGUUUUGACUCAAGGAGUCGCUAUGUUCAUCGAGUCGCGAGACAGCGGGAGGAAGGAGACGAAGGUCCCAAACGUCAGACCAAAAAGGUGGACUAGGGCUCGCCCUAGUUGUGCUCUCGGGUAUUUUCAGUUACUAGUAGGAGUAAGAAGCAUUGCAAAUUGCUCCCUCUGUUCAAUCCGUAUAUAUGUAGUCCGUAUUCAUAUAUUCAAAAUAUUUUAUAUUUGUGAACGAAGGGAGUAAUUAAUAGUAAUGCAACAAUUUCAGGGGAGGCCAGUCAACAGCUAACUAAAUGUGCUGGAUGAGACUGGAGACAUGUAUAAACGAUUUACACAUGAUAGAACUACUCUUUUCUUGUCAAGGAAUGGAAGAAUGGAUGAUUUUAUCCGUUCGGAACAAAACCCAAUAUUCAUCCAGUUAGACGUUGUUCUGAAUUCUGAAGCUUUUGAAAGUUUUCUCGCAGAAAUAUGUGUGUGUAUUCCAGUUGUAUCAUUAGCAAACCAAGGUUGUAUAUAUUAUAGCACAAAGAAUGUUUGGUUGAUUCGUUCAGGCGAAUCAGGUUUGUGGCUGACUGCCAAAGUCAGGCCAACUCCAGCGCACGACCCCAAACAGACAUCUGUUUUGUCUGGAUUCUGCCCGUUUGGAUAUAGCAAUGGGGUCGUGUCCAGGCCUGUCCUGUGAUGCGGUCGCCGUGCGCACAACGCGCGGACGCAUCCUUUGGCCUCAUCAUGUCCGCCACGGCCAAAAAUGCCCAUAUAUUCAUAUUUCAAUAUUCAAAACUAGUUUGCACGUCCAAAUAUUAAUUGUCUGAAAAUAAAAAUAGUUUUACAACCCAAUCAAAAUUGUCUCUAAUAAAAUAGUUUUACAACCAAAUCGAAAUUGUCUUGAAUGAACAUAAUGAAACCAAUACAUCUAUUGGUUGCCAAUGUGAUUCCACAUGUGCUCAACCAAGUCAUUUUGAAGAUCCAAAUGAGUGUGCCAAUCAUGCAUUUCACGAUGACAUUGGGCAAACUGCUCAAACGUGGCCGGUUCUUGGUGCAGGGGCUGAACAUUUUCACCUUGAAAAUCAAAUCCUUGGUCGAAGAUGCUGUUAUCACGCUCGUCCUCGACGAUUAUGUUGUGCAUGAUCACACAAGCAGUCAUCACCUCCCGAAGCUUCCCUUCAUCCCAUGUCAAUGCAGGGUUUCGAACGAUACCCCAUCGGGAUUGAAGCAAACCAAAAGCACGUUCCACAUCCUUUCUAGCACUCUCUUGCAUUUGGGUAAAUCUCUUUCUCUUCUCACCUUGGGGGUUCGAGAUUGUCUUCACAAAAAGUUGACCACUGAGGAUAUAUACCAUCAGCUAGGUAGUAUCCCUUGUUGUACUGGUGGCCGUUGAUCUCAAAGUUGCCAGGUGGGGAGUGGCCUUCUGCAAGCCUUGCGAAGACUGGAGAACGCGGCAGCACGUUGAUAUCAUUGUGAGAACCUGCCAUGUCGAAGAAAGAAUGCCACAUCCAAAGAUCUUGCGAAGCCACCGCUUCUAAUAUGAUAGUGCAUGCUUUAACAUGCCCCUUGUACUGGCCCUGCCAAGAAAAUGGACAGUUCUUCCACUCCCAGUGCAUACAAUCUAUGCUACCAAGCAUGCCUGGAAAGCCUCUAGCCGCGUUGGUCGCCAACAAGCUUUCUAUAUCAGUGGCAUUUGGCUGCUGAGGGAGUCCUGGAUUAAGGGGUCCUCGGGCGUUUGGGCUGCGUAACAUGGGCCGGACUAAUGGGCCGUGAAGNNNNNNNNNNNNNNNNNNNNNNNNNNNNNNNNNNNNNNNNNNNNNNNNNNNNNNNNNNNNNNNNNNNNNNNNNNNNNNNNNNNNNNNNNNNNNNNNNNNNNNNNNNNNNNNNNNNNNNNNNNNNNNNNNNNNNNNNNNNNNNNNNNNNNNNNNNNNNNNNNNNNNNNNNNNNNNNNNNNNNNNNNNNNNNNNNNNNNNNNNNNNNNNNNNNNNNNNNNNNNNNNNNNNNNNNNNNNNNNNNNNNNNNNNNNNNNNNNNNNNNNNNNNNNNNNNNNNNNNNNNNNNNNNNNNNNNNNNNNNNNGAUUCCUUUCCCUGUAAACCGACUCUGUACAACCCUAGCCUUCUCCGAUGUCUAUAUAAACCGGAGGGUUUAGUCCGUAGAGGCAAGGAUAAUCAUACAGGCUAGACAUAUAGGGUUUAGCCAUUACGAUCUCGAGGUAGAUCAACUCUUGUAAUCCCUAUACUCAUCAAAGUCAAUCAAGCAGGAAGUAGGGUAUUACCUCCAUUAAGAGGGCCCGAACCUGGGUAAACAUCGUGUCCCCUGCCUCCUAUUACCCUCUAUCCUUAGACGCACAGUUCGGGCCCCCCUAUCCGAGAUCCGCCGGUUUUGACACCGACAGCUGCCUCAAGUACUCAGGGCCAAACACUGCCACCACAGCCUUGUAGAACUUGUAAAGUGACAACAGACAUGCCGACUCACUCAUGCGCACGUACUCAUCCACCAGAUCGCCUGGAAUUCCAUAUGCAAGCAUGCCGAUGGCCGCGGUGCACUUCUGGUAAGAGGAGAAUCCAAGCUUGCCAAGGGCAUCCGUCUUGCACUCGAAGUAUGGGUCAUGAGCAACCACUCCCUCUCGGAUACGAUUGAACAGAUGUCUUGCCAUACGAAAACGGCGACGGAAUUUAUCCGGCUUGAAGAGCGAGGUAUUCGCAAAGUAAUCGGCAUAGAGCAAGGCGUGGCCUCUCUCUCUAUUGCGUUUCAGGUUGGGAGCACGGCCAGGGACUGACCCCAUGUACCGAGGAAGCUGCCCAAUGUGAUCGUGAACGACCAGUGCAACCACCACCAGAUCUUCGUCAUCCGAGGACGAAUCAUCCAAUGAAUAAAUGAAGUGGUGGAAGAAAAAUUCAUCUCCACUGUCCAUACAUUUGUGGGCAAAGUGUUCAACACCUUGCGGUCGUGGUGGCAAAGAGGCCGCGAUGAUCAUCUCGAUGCAGCAGGGGUGGUUGGCGGCCGGCUACUGGCCGCUCUAGAGCACCCGGCGGAAGCUGCCGUGGUCCAUAUCCGUCGCCGGUGGUCGUAUCCCCUCUAGCACCGGCUACAAUGGCGACGGCCAAAUCUCCUCCAAGCGAUGGCCAGAACUCCUACGAAAGCGCGGGCGUUGUGGCGGCCAUGUCGAGACGUGGUUUGGUAUGGAUGGGCAGGGGGAGGGAGCAGUGAGGAGGCGGUCGGAGAAUACUGGCGGCGCCGGUGGCGGGAUGCGGCGGAGGAGAGCGGGUGAAGGCGUUGGAGGCAAAUGGAGUGCUAGUGUCCCCGACAGGCGGGCCACGGGGAGGACAAGGGCGUGUGUCCAGCCCGUCCGCGUGAUGUCCAUUUCACCCCAAACUCGGCACAAGUUUGGGCCGGGAAUGGGUAAAAAACGGACGAAAUCCGGACAUUUGUCUAUUUGAAGCCGCGCCUUGAGUCAUGCUAUUCGUCUGUUCUACCCUAAACGGACGCACCAGAACGGAAUGGGGUCGCGUGCUGGAGUUGGCCUCACGGCCGUUUCUGCCUUUGGCGCAGACAAGAGAUUCUACACUGUAAAGGAAAAAGCUGAAAGCUCUCUUGUCUCGUGUGUUUCUCUUCUCUUGCACCUUGUCGGAAAACAGUGUGCACCAGGGACGCUCGAUUCCAUGGCAGGCAUCAGUUCAAUCGAUCAUGCUACAGGGAACCGGCACUAUCUUCUUUUUCUUUUUCUUUUUCUUUUAGGUCGUGAACGCAAGUCAUUUGAGAUAUUCACGUAGGACUUACAUAAUUGGUACGUUGUGACAAAACUGGACGCACACGAUGAAAUAUAUAAAUAUUCCUAUGGUAGAUUUAUCAGCAUCAGUGUGGAGCUAAAGUGUUUGAUGUUUUGUAUGAAUGGUUUGGUCUGAACAAUAAAGCCGACCACUCAGGACCUACUUUUGGGCUUUUUUUUUUGUAUUAUUCUAUACUAGCAAAAGGGCCCGUGCGCGGAGAAAAAAAUUAUAAUCUUGAAUGACCAUGAUCACAUUUUUUUUCAUCACCGAGAUACACUAUCACUUUCAACUUCGGGAAAUCAUCUACAUUUUUUAAACUUGUGCACAUUUUUCACAUUCAUGAACACUUUUACAAAUUUGCAAACAUAUUCUAAAAUCAAGAACAUAUUUUGAAUUCAUGAACAUUUUAUAGUAUUUACAAACAUUUUUAGAAAUUACGUUUUUUUAACAAUUUUCUUGAAUAGGCAAACAAUUCUAAAAUGGACGAACAUUGUUUUAGAAAUCGGUGGAAUAAUUUUUGAAAUUCCCGAACAUUUUCUUGAUUUUACAAACAUUUUUUGAAAUGCAUGAUCAUUUUUGUAUAAACUAUUUUGUAUGUCACGAACAGUUUUCCAAAUAUUUGGUUAUUUCCCCAUUCAUGAACAUUUUUUGAAUGGUGAUAUUUUCUUAAAUUUCAUUAACAUUUUUUGUACACGAAUUUUUAAAAAGUCAUGGACGUAUUUUGGUUUCAUGAACAUUUGUUUUCAAAAUUUCAAACAUUUUUCGAGCCAGAUUCUUUAAUAAAAUUGCAAAUAUUUUUUGAAUACAUAAACAUUUUAUGAUUUAUUAAAACUUUAUUUGGAAAUUAUUUUAAUUUUGAAAUAUUUUUUGUAUUCUGAAUUUAAUUAAAGUAGAAAAACGGAAAAAGAUAAAAAAGGAAAUGUUAAAAACAGGCUGCCCGGACAUGGGCCGGCCCAAAUGGGCGGGCCGCGCCUUAUCCCUUCGCGCAGAGCCCAGUAUGGCAGGUCGCUACUACAUGGGCCAGUCCAGACGGGGAUUCCCCUGUGUGAAACAUUUAUAUCACUUAUACGUGACAUUUGGAUCCCCUCUAGUUAGGGUUUUCUCUCCUCCCGGCGGCGCCUGGCACCGACGUGGAGACCGCGAUCCCCUGCGUCUCCUAGACCACUGAUCGCCGGCGGCUUCGGACGUCGGGCUCGUGUGCGCGCUGGGCGAUCUGUCUAGGGUUCUCCCGCCCGCGGAAACCGACUUCUCGGGCAAGAGAUCUGAUGGAAGGCUCAACGUCGGCGUCAGCCGCAGCGAUGAGCGACAUGGAAGCUAUGAUGAAGGAAUUGGGCCUGAAAGAAGAUGAUCUGGAGGAUGUUGUGGUUCAGGAUGGCGACAUACCAGAGGAAGCGGCGCGGUGGAUGGUGAUCCUGCGGGUGCACAUGGAUAAGCCGUACAGUCAGUAUUGGUUUUUUCGUAACAUGCGGGUUGCAUGGGAUCUAGCACAAGAAGUCAAGUUCCGCCCUCUAGAAGACAACCUCUAUACUCUGCAAUUCUCCUACCUGGGUGAUUGGGAGAGAGUCAUGGAGGACGGCCCCUGGACAUACAAAGGAAAAGCUGUCGUAAUCGAGCCCUAUGAUGGUUUCACCAGAUCAUCGUCUAUUGUUCUUAACAAGAUUGAGAUGUGGAUCCAGAUCCAUGAUCUCCCUGAACUGUUCUUCCAGUUGAUUAAAUCGCUAGCAUCUACUGUUGGUGACUUCAUAUUUGCUGAGCCCAAAUCCCAGGACUUUGAGGGGAACUUUUUUAGGGUUCGAGUGAAAGUGGAUGUCACAAAGCCGCUCAAGAACGCUGUAUCGCUGGUGAUCAAGAAGAGGAGAGAGAUAUUCAGGGUGAAAUAUGAGAGGCUUCCAGAUUGGUGUGCUGUCUGUGGUAUGCUAGGUCAUCAGUUCAAAGAGUGUGGCGAUGGGAUCCAUCCCCAAUCUGCGCUUGUGUUCAAAAAUCUGAAAGCUGACUGGUUCAGGAGCCCAGGCCGUGGACCAGGUGCUGCAAGAGGCUUUGAAGGUGGUCGAGGGAGAGGUAAUGGUCGUGCAGGUCAUGGAGGCCGGGGCUCGGGUUGAACACAACAAGAUAACUUUGACCAGGCUGUUGAUCUGGAUACAGACAUGGAAGAAGGAGACGGGAACCGCAAGAGAGGAGCUCAUGCAAACACACUCUUGCUUACUUCUUCAGGGACCAACCCAUCAUCUUCGAUGGAACCCCAAGCCCUCGCUACAGCCACCGUUCCACAGAGUCCCUCGUCGAAGCAAGACCUCAAAAGAACAAAGACCAACCCCCGUCAGUUGGAGAAGAACCCAGGGAAGAACAAGUCCUCAAACACCCAAAACAAUGCGCAAAUGGCGAGCCCUAUCAACUGGUCGCGCCUGGCGCAAUGAGUUGCCUAGUUUGGAACUGUCGCGGGGCUGGCAGACCUGCGACAGUUCGUGAGCUUCGAGAUCUAUCGAAGCUACUUGCCCCCUCUAUUGUAUGCAUUCUUGAAACCCAGAUAGAGGGCUCGCGUGUCGAGAAUCUGGUAGGAACUUUAGGUUAUAAUAAAAGCUUUGCUGUAAGCAGCUCCGGCAGGAGCAGUGGACUAGGCAUUUUUUGGAAUGAGGAAAUAAAACUCGAAGUUAUCGGUUAUUCUGAGUACCACAUAGAUGUUCUUGUUGAGCAGAUGGUAGAAACUAAAACCAGAAUCACCUUUGUGUAUGGUGAGGCCCAAACAAGUGCAAGGUACAAAACUUGGGACAUGUUGCGCGGAAUUGCUGGAACUAGCAACGACCCAUGGGUAGUGAUUGGAGACUUUAACGAAGUACUUCAUGCCCAUGAGCAUGAUGGAACCGGCCAACGAAGCCAGGCGCAGAUGGACGCCUUCUGAGAUGCUAUUGACAAAUGCGGCUUAUCAGAUAUUGGUUAUAAGGGGCAAAGCUGGACUUUUGAAAAGAAGGUGAUGGGCGGUACGUACACCAGGGUGCGCUUGGACCGGAGCGUGGCUAAUCCUGCAUGGGCUUUGGCCUUCCCAGAUGCAUCCCUUGAGCAUCUCACCGCAGCUACUUCUGAUCAUGUCCCGUUGUUGCUUCGGCUUCAAGCAAUGCAUGCAUGCAGAAGGGGACCACGGCCGUUUAAAUACGAGUUGUGUUGGGAGCGCGACCCAACACUGGAGACAAUGGUGCAUGCGGGGUGGAAUCAGCAUCCUGGGGAUUCGGUGGACCAGGUGAAGGCUAAACUCCAAACACUGUCGGGCGACCUGUCGACGUGGGAUCGGCAACAUUUUGGAAGCGUGUGCAGAGAGAUAGCCGAAUUAAAAAAAGGAACUACAGGUGUUGCGAGAAUUUCCAGGAAGAUCUGGCCCCUCUCGACGGGAGACAAAAAUCUGCGACCGCCUGGUUGAAUUGUUUCAUCGCGAGGAGAUCUUGUGGAGGCAGCGAGCUAGGAUUGAUUGGCUCAUGCAUGGCGACAAAAAUACUUAUUUCUUCCACAUGAGAGUGAGUAGGCGUCGACGGAAAAACCAAAUUAAAUCCUUGCAAUGAGCUGACGGGCAGGUAACGGAGAAUGAACUGGAGAUGGAAAACAUGACGAUCUCCUUUUACAAGGACUUGUACACGACAGAAGGGGUUGGUGAUAUGGCACAGGUGCUAGAAACAGUACCAUGCAAGGUUACGCAUGCAAUGAACGCCUCGUUGAAUGCCCCAUAUAGCCCGGAAGAAGUCAAGACUGCCCUUUUUCAAAUGUUUCCCACCAAGGCACCGGGACCAGAUGGCUUUCCCGCUCACUUCUUUCAGAGGCACUGGGAGACGUGCGGAGACGAAAUCACCAAAGUCGUUCUUAAAAUUGUUGAGGGCACAGAAUCUGCAGCAUGUAUCAAUGAGACAGUCUUGGUGCUAAUCCCUAAGGUAAAAAACCCAACCCUCUUGAGCCAGUUCCGACCCAUCAGCUUAUGUAAUGUUCUUUACAAAAUAGCGUCCAAAGUGAUCUCUAACAGGCUGAAGGUGAUACUACCUGACAUUAUAUCUGAGGAACAAUCUGCCUUUGUCCCUGGUAGACUUAUAACUGACAACAUCAUCACUGCCUACGAGUUCCUACACUUUAUGAAAAGAAAUAAAGCUAAAAAGCACCAGUCGUUUGCUCUGAAGCUAGACAUGAUGAAGGCUUAUGACAGGGUGGAGUGGCUAUACCUGAAAGCAAUCAUGGUGAAACUAGGGUUCACUGAGAGAUGGGUGGACAUAGUUAUGGGACUGGUUACCACUGUUAAGUUUUCUGUCAUGUUUAAUGGGAAAAGAUUGGAGGAAUUCGAACCUUCACGAGGAAUUAGACAAGGGGACUCAAUAUCUCCGUACUUGUUCUUAAUAGCAGCAGAGGCCCUGUCGUGCCUGUUAAAAUCAAAGAGUGAGUCAUCCAAUCUGGGUGGUGUGCAAUGGCUCCUACGGCGCCGCCAGUUAGCCAUCUAUUAUUCGCUGAUGACAGCCUACUGUUCUGUAAGGCAAAUUGUGCGGGAGCUAAUGAGGUGAACCUAGUACUGAAUACAUACUGCCAAGCAUCCGGUCAGCGAGUAGCAAGGGAGUGCCGGAAGCUACGAGGACAGAAAUAAAAGGUUUACUCAAUAUUCCCAAUGAAACUUUAAAUGAGAAGUAUCUAGGGAUGCCGUCAGAUAUUGGGAGUUCGAAGAACGGGGCCUUCAAAUACGUCAAGGAUCAUUUAUGGAGUAAGGUACAGGGCUGGGUGGAAAACACCAUGUCAUCCGCAGGCAAGGAGGUUUUGGUGAAAUCAGUUGCCCAGUCCAUACCUAUAUUCUCAAUGUCAUGCUUUAAACAUCCAAGGGGAUUAUGUGAACACCUUAAUAUGCUUAUUAGGAAGUUCUGGUGGGGGAGCAAAGAUGGCAAAAGGAAACCUCACUGGGUAUCUUGGAAAAGUAUGACACAGCCGAAGGGAAUGGGAGGACUAGGGUUCAAAGAUUUUGAACUCUUUAAUAUGGCGAUGCUGGCAAGACAGGCUUGGAGAUUAAUCCAAACACCAGAGUCCCACGCUUGUUGAAGAGCAUAUACUUCCCUGAUUCUACCGUCUUGGAGGCGACCUUGUGCAACCAUCCCAAUCAGAUAUGGCGAGCCAUCAUCGAAGGCAGAGAUACACUCAAACAAGGUCUCAUUCGUAGAAUUGCCAAUGGUCAAUCUACUCGUAUUUGGGAGGAUCCGUGGCUGCCAAGAGAUGAGAUGUUACGGCCAUAUGGGAGCAUUCACCCCAAUCCGCCAACCUUGGUUUCGGAACUGAUCGAUCACACUAGCGCUUCAUGGAACAGUCAGCUAAUCAACCAAGUGUUUAUGCCCAUGGAUGCUUGUACCAUUAUGGGGAUCCCGGUGUGCACUCGCAAUCUCCAUGACUUCUGGAGCUGGAUCUUUGAAACGAGUGGCAACUUCACGGUCAAAUCUGCUUACCGCAUGCUUGUAGCGACAAGACAGCGCCGGGAGGCAUGGCUUGAGGGCACUGCUGGAACAUCAAACAGCACGUCGAAGGAGGGGGCUUAGAAAACGUUGUGGAAGACCCAGGUUCCUGCAAUUCUAUGGCGUUUAUCAAAGCACUCUCUCCCAACGGAGGACGUCAGGGCUCAUCGGCAUAUGGCAGAUAACGCUACUUGCGGUUUAUGUGGCUCGGCUGAUUCGUGGAGACACUCUCUGGUUAACUGCACUAGCUCGAGAUGGUGUGUGGGCUUUAGUUGAUGAGGAGCUAGCACAAAACCUAGUCUCAACCACGGAACCCAACGCCAAGCAGUGGCUCUUCACCUUCAUGCACUCACUAUCACACGAUCAAUUUGUAUUGCUUGCGGUCACUCUCUGGGCGAUCUGGACAGCGCGGCGCAAGGCUAUUCAUGAAGGAAUAGUCCAAUCGCCUCAGGCAACUAACAACUUUCUCAGACGCUUCAUAGCUGAACUAAACAUGAUUAAAGUGGAAAGGCCUAUGAGGGGAGGAGCUCAAUCUAUGGGCCUGUCACGAGCUGCACGCCCCAAAGCUCCCCCGAUCGGCUACGCCAAGAUUCAUGUGGACGCGGGAGUAAGAGCAAGGAAAGGUGGAUCAGCAGCCGCUGUAUGCCGGGACAGGCAAGGCAAUUUCCUAGGCAGCUCCGCGUUGGUGAUCGCCGGUCUAGAGGACCCAGCCAUACUAGAGACUAUCACUUGUAGAGAGGCAUUGGCGCUGGCGGAAGACCUUAAUCUGCAUAAUUUUGUCGUUGCAUCUGAUUCCAAGCAAACAGUGGCUGACAUCUUAAGUGGAGGCAGAGGCAAGAGUGGUACUAUUAUCCAGGAGAUAAACACUAGAGCAACUCUAUUUCAUUGUAAUUUUUCUUUUGAAGGCCGUGCUGUUAAUGUCGAAGCACAUAGACUAGACAAAUAUUCGCUUAAUAUCGGUCCGGGGCGCCACCUCUGGUUAGGUCAGCCCCAUGACCCGAGUUGUAUCCCACCCAUUGUGGUCUUUGAUGAAUAAAAUUUGGCUUUCCCCUCAAAAAAAAAACUUAUACGUGACAUUUGUGGGUAAUUUGUACGACGUGCCAUAAGAAGAAAUAGCCCCUUUAUUAUUAUUAGCAAAAGUGUCCGUGCGUUGUAACGGGAGAAAUAAAAUCAAAAUCUCCAAUGACCAUGACCAUAUUUUGUUGCAUCACCAAGACACCCCUAUCACUCUCAAUUUCGUGUAAUCAUGAAUAAUUUUUGAAAUCACGAACAUGUUUUAAAAUUAUUACACAUAUUUGAAAUCGUGAACAUUUUUCAAAUUCAUGAACACUUAUACAAAUUUCCGAACAUUUCUAAAAUCAAGAACAUUUUUGGAAUUGAUGAACAUUUUAUACUAUUUGCAAACACUUUUUAAAGAUUCCGAACAUCUUUAUAAACAAUUUUCUUUAAUCGAGGAACAUUUUUAUGGAAAUUGAUGGAACAAUUUUCGAAAUUCACAAACAUUUUUUGAUUUAACUAACAGUUUUUGAAAUACAUGAUCAUUUUUUGAAUCAGUGGACAUUUUCUGAAUGACUAAACUAUGUUGUAAGUCACGAAAUAGUUUUUGAAUUUUAGGAUAUUUCUCCAUUCAUGAACACUUUUUGAAUUGGCUAUUUUUUUCAAUUUCAUUAACAAUUUUUGAUAGAAAAACUUUUUAAAAAAUCAUGAAUUUUAUUUGAUUUCCCAAAAAAUUGUUUUUAAAAUUUUGAACAUUUAUUGUGUAAGCAAUUGUUUUUUACAAAACAGCGACCAUAUUUUAAAUCCACUAACAUUUUAUGAUUUAUGAAAAUUUUAUGUCAAAAUACUCAUUUUUUUAAUUUUCGAAACUUUUUUGAAAUCCCAAACUAUUUAUUGUAGAAAAGAACGAAAACAGGAAAGAAAAAUGAAAAUAGAAAACAAAAUCAAAGAAACAGGCCAGCCUGAAAUGGGCCGGCCCAAACAUACGUGUAGCUUCUUCUCCCAGCGUGCAGAGAGCAUUAUAGGAGGUCCCAACUGCAGGGCCGGCCCAGAUGGGGGAAUUCCCCUGUGUGAAUUUUUUGUAUCACUUAUAUGUGGCAUUGAACUCAUGAAGCAUGCGCUAUCCCUUCCAGCUCGCCGCCAUGUAUGGCUCGGACAACCAGAUGGACUUUCUUUCGUCCAUGUAAACGUUAUGACGAUAUAAUAAAAAGCUUCGGAAUUUGUCUAAAAAGACUUAUAAGUGGCAUUGGUGGGUAAUAUUUUGCAACUUUAGAGGUAAUUCCAUGACGUACCACCAGAAGCACAAUAGCCCCUUUACUAUUAUUAGGUACUCUUUUUUCCUUGUGGAGCUUUGGAAAUGAGAGAAUUUGAAUAUAGUAACUCUCGGAAACUCUUAUUGGAUGAGAGAGAUUUAAUAUGAUAUUGGCAUGGGUUCUACCAACUAACGAAGAAGUAUUUGACUGGAUAAACAGACAAUUUCCUUUAAUGGACGAACAUUUUUAUGAAAAUUGGUGGAAUAACUUGGGAAAUUCAUAAAUAUUUUUUUAGUUAACGAACAUUUUUUUAACUUAACGAACAUUUUUUGAAAUACAUGACCAUUUUUUUGAAUCUGUGAACGUUGUAUGAAUGAAUAAACUAGUUUGUAAGUCAUGAGCAGUUUUUCAAUUUUUAGGAUAUUUUUCCCUUCAUGAACAUUUUUUCAAUUGGUGAAAUUUUGUUCAAUUUCGUUAACAAUUUUUAGUGCACAAACCUUUUUAAAAAAUCAUGAACAUGAUUAUUUACCAAAGAAGCAAAUUGUUUUUUACAAAAUCGUGGACAUUUUUUUAACCCAGAAACAUUUUAUGAUUUAUGAAACAUUUUUUUCAAUACACAAUAUUUUUAAUUUUCGAAUUUUUGUGAAAUCCUAAAUUAUUUAAAGUAGAAAAAUCAAAAACAGAAAAGAGAAAGGAAUAAUAGAAAACAAAGUUAAAGAAUAGGCCGACCGAACAUGGGCCGGCCCAAACGGGCGCACUGUAUCUUCUGCCAGCGCCUAGAGCGCAGUAUAGGAGGUCCCUACUGCAUGGGCCNNNNNNNNNNNNNNNNNNNNNNNNNNNNNNNNNNNNNNNNNNNNNNNNNNNNNNNNNNNNNNNNNNAAGAAAAUAAUGCCUAUGCAUAUGCUUUUAUAUUAUUAUUAUUGUUUCAAAUUUAUUCAUAUAUUAUUUUCAAUUGUACAACCAUAAUUUUUCUUAUCUCUCUCGUUCCACUACAUGCUCCUAGUCAAAGAUUUUUUUAAUAAUGGGUGUUUUUAUUAACUCAAAAUAUAGCAUCAAGCGGAUACAAAACAUAAUGAGCCACACCCGGUCUAUGCAUAACUAAGAUGCACACAGCCAAAAGCAGAAGUCUGACAAAAAUAAGAUAAGAAAAUCGACAUAUCGACAACAGUGAGUCAUAUAGUACCGACACUAUGCCUCUGUCGAAGGAGGUGGUGGAGCGAUCUGGAGAUUAUGCUGCCAUCCAUGUUGAGUAAAUAUCUCCCUGGCCACUUGCUCCAACCGCAUAGACGCCGCCAUGAACAACGGUUGGUACUCCAUUCGGUGUAGCAUACACCAUACUAGAGGCUGGGGCGCCACCUGAGGCGGGCCUAUGCACACUUAUUUUGUCUGGGCAGUUCGGUUGUCAUGUUUGGUCAUCAGUAUCACUUAUGUACAUCAAUAUGGGCGUAUGUUGUAUUGUUUGAGUUCAUUAGGAUCUAUCAGUAUCACAUCAAUCAAACUACAUAUACUAUGUUAUUUGAGUUCAGAACCAUCAUAGGCAAUGAUACGUCUAACAAGGAUAUAUAACAUUUAAUUCAAAAGGAAAGACAAAGUAGAAUUAAGUGCUUCAGAUUGGCCGAAGAAAGGAACCUCAUGAUGCCAUGACUAAGGAACCAAAUAUAAAAGAGCACCUUUCAGAGUACUCCAGAGGUAUGACAUCAUCCAUUUCCACAUCAGAAUCAUCGGAAUUCUCCUGAUCCUCAUUUCGAUGUACCCAACACAAAUGCUACAUGGAUUUUAGUCAGCUGCAAUCCCCACUACUUCUACACUUCCCCUUUUUCACACCGAGGAGCAGAGACUGAUGCAAGUUGAUCGAACACAGAACAACAUAUAAUUGCCUAGAGAUGCGCUGGGCCUGAACAACAACAACAACAACAACCGUUGAGCCAGGUCUCCUUCCAGCAGCCUCAGCAACAAUAUCCAUCAGGCCAGGGCUCCUUCCAGCCAUCUCAGCAAAACCCACAGGCCCAGGGCUCUUUCCAGCCUCAACAACUGCCCCAGUUUGAGGAAAUAAGGAACCUAGCGCUACAGACGCUACUUGCAAUGUGCGAUGUCUAUAUCCCUCCAUAUUGCACCAUUGCUCCAUUUGGCAUCUUUGGUACUAACUGAGAAGAGAAGAACUCUAGUAGUAGAUAUAUGAUACACCGUUUUCUUAGUCCAUGGUUUGGUCGUUGUAGCGGUGAAAAAAUAAAGUGACAUGCACUAUCAUGUAAGAACCCGAACUAUACUAGUUCAAACUUGGGAAUAAAAGACAAACACAGGUCUUGUCUACAUAUGAUUGUUUGUUUGAGUUCCACUCAUGUGCCCAUUCACAAGUUCACCCCUAAUUAUAUAUAUUAUGCAUUAAGUAGAUAUUUAUGUUGCAUUAAUCUAAAGAUAACAAAAUGAGUCUGAAAUUUGAAUUAAAUUGAAGUAUUUCCUUGGACUUUCAAAUGGAGUAUUAUUAAAGUAGUAAGGACUAUCCUCAUCCUUGGCUUGCCCUUGAUCAAUUAUUUCCAGAGAAGCAUUCAAUUCGUCAAUCAAUUACAUUGAUUUUUGCAGCCGGUACUUCUCCUCAACAUGAGUAUAUUCAUCGCGGCUACUCCAAAUCGGCAUGAAUGAGGUACCGGUGCUCUGGAGCACUAGUACCUAACAGCUUCUCAUGUGAAGGGGUGCGGGCACGGGAGAGGUGUUUUUGGUGGGCCAGGGGAGUAAGAAGCGGCCGUGGCAGCGGUGCAGACACCCACAAAGCCCCGUAGUUUGUUUUUCGUUUACAGGAAAAUGCACAUCCAGACCGGCCUGCGGGCCGAUAUAGGACCGUAUUGGAUGGCAAAACAUGUCCGGAUGGUUGCGAGCGGUUUGAGGGUUAGCUUUUGUAACGCCCGGUUAGUUAUGCUAUUGUAAUUCCCUGCUAAUGAUGUCACGUAACCACGAUUACUAUUGUUAACCUCACAAUGAUUCAAUCCCAUUCAAAUUCAAAUUUAAAAUAAAGGCAAACAUCAAAAUUUCCAAACAUUAAAACUUAAAUCUUCGAGAGGUGGAAAAUAAUGCAUAAGUAAUUAUGGUGGAGAAACCACACUUUUAUAAAAUGUUUAAAUACUGUAAAAGAAUAAACAGUGGCUUAAACUAUUAUUUAAAUCCUUUUAAAAUAGUAAAAAUGUUCUAACUAAAUUAAUUGGGUACCAAACUUUUGGUGGCAGUGGUAUAUUUAGUAGAACUAAUUUAGAUGCUAAUUAUAUAAUUUACAAAAUUAAAGUAAAUUGAAAAAUAGGAUAAAACAUAAAAGGAAAGACAAAAUAAAUAAAAGCAAAAGGGGGCAACCCCUCGCUGGGCCUCGGCCUAACUGGCCACUGGGCUAGCUAGGCCGGCCCAGCCGCCUCCCUUAACCCCCCACUCCCCAUCGAACCCUGGCCCGAUCGCCCCACUUCCCCCACACCCCGUCGUCAGCCUCCCCACCUGUCGAUCCCAUCUGGAUCGGGGAGGGGAUCGCCCCCAUCAACCCCGUCGCCGUCUCCGGAUCGCCCGCUCGCCCAUCGCCCGCCGGAGUCGCCGGGCCUCCUCCCUGCCGCCCGUCUCCGGCUCGCCUCCUCUCUCGCUCCUCUUCCCUGACCCAAUCUGGAUCGGGAAGGGGCAAUGCGCCCGACGCCCCCCUUCACCGACGCCGUGCGCCAACACCGCCGCCCGAAGACCUCGCCGUCACCGGACCUCGCGUCGCCUCCUCGUAUCCCUCCCCGCCUCGCCUCAAGCCAUGACGACCCCCUUCUCGGCAACGCUGUGAGCCGCCCCCGUUUCCCUCCUCCUCUUUCCACCGCGUUCACAGCGUCGCCCGCCGUGCCCCUCGCCGCGCGCUCGCCCACCACCGCGCCAGCCCCGGUCCGCGCCCUCUCCUGCAUGCUUGCGUGCGCAUGACCCUAGCCGCGCCUGCGCCGUGAUCCCCUUAUCCNNNNNNNNNNNNNNNNNNNNNNNNNNNNNNNNNNNNNNNNNNNNNNNNNNNNNNNNNNNNNNNNNNNNNNNNNNNNNNNNNNNNNNNNNNNNNNNNNNNNNNNNNNNNNNNNNNNNNNNNNNNNNNNNNNNNNNNNNNNNNNNNNNNNNNNNNNNNNNNNNNNNNNNNNNNNNNNNNNNNNNNNNNNNNNNNNNNNNNNNNNNNNNNNNNNNNNNNNNNNNNNNNNNNNNNNNNNNNNNNNNNNNNNNNNNNNNNNNNNNNNNNNNNNNNNNNNNNNNNNNNNNNNNNNNNNNNNNNNNNNNNNNNNNNNNNNNNNNNNNNNNNNNNNNNNNNNNNNNNNNNNNNNNNNNNNNNNNNNNNNNNNNNNNNNNNNNNNNNNNNNNNNNNNNNNNNNNNNNNNNNNNNNNNNNNNNNNNNNNNNNNNNNNNNNNNNNNNNNNNNNNNNNNNNNNNNACCAAGACCCACAUCCCCUAAUUAACCAUUUAAUAAAUUUAAACUCUUAAAUUAACAUUAGUGUAUGACAUGUGGGUCCCCUAUUAAUUAAACUAAUUUAAUUAAAAUCUAUUAACUUCAAGUCUAUGACAUAUGGGCCCCACUGAACAUUUGACCAGUCAACGGUCCAGUCAAAUGUUGACCGGAUAGUUGACCAGAGGGCCCCACCAGUCAGCCUCUGUGCUGUUCUCCUGGGUACCUUUCUGAGUACACCUAGCAUUUUGCAUUUACAAUAUUUGUUUUAAAAUAAAUUAGAAUAAUUUCAAAAAAAUGAUUGAAACUUUUAAAAUUAAAAAAAAUUAUCCGUAACUCGGAUGAAAUUACUUUAUACAUGGAAGUUGCUCAAAAAAUGAGACGAAUCCUAAUACACAGUCCGUUCUUCUGCCACACGUCCCUAGCAUAGCGAACAUGCAACCACCCCCCUCCGGUUCGACUGUCCGAAAAUGUCAAACACCGGGAAUACUUUUCCGGAUGUUUCCCCUUCACUAGUAGCACCUAGUACCGCGUGAGGCAUACCUAGCACCACUUAUUGUAAUGUCAUGCAUCGUCAUGCAUCUGUUUGCAUUGUAUUCAUUGUUUCUUGCUCCUCUUCUCUCCGGUAGACUACGAGACUGACGCCGGUGCUGCCCCGGUCGAUUACGGUGUCCAUGACCCCUCCUUGUCAGCAGAGCUUCCAGGCAAGCAAACCCCCUUGAUCAUCCCGAUAUCGCCUACUCUUUCCUCUACUGCUUGCAUUAGAGUAUUGUUACUGUUUGUCGGUUUGAUCCUAUACUGCUGCAUGGCCUGUCUUUGAUACUACUUAUGUGUUAUUUGUUAGUACGCUUGGAGAAAAUGCCUUUGAUUAGGGCAUCUUCAACAGCGACCAGUAAAUUUCCUCCCGCGUUCGUCCACGAAUAGGGGAUCAGUCCGCGGACACGGAUACAGGAAUUGGCCAUCCAACAAUGUCCGCAUAUAUUUAAAACACUUAAAAAAUAGGAUGAAAUUCAUGCAAACACAGUGGAUUUCAUACAAACCGGACAAAAAUGUUUACAUUUUGGACAUUUUUUUUUUACUAAAAACUCUACAGCCGGUGCCGGCGAAUAUCCACUCCGGCAACAUGGAUACCCUUGACUAGUCUACUGCCGGCCGCAGCAGAUCUCCAAUGUCGUCCCCAUGUUCGGCAGCUGUGAGCCCUAGAGGUAUAUGCUUCAGCGCAAAGAGCGGCUCGCCUCCUACCGCUCAUCGGAGUGGAACAACCAGUUGAUGCUUCUGCCGAUGGGGAAGGGUCCCUACGCUACACGAAUUAGAGUUGGUUUUGGGUUGGGGGAACGGCGGUGGCCUGUCAGAGGGCAAGACACCGACUGUGUACGCUGGUGUCACCUGGUGUGGCAUUCAUGGGACCCAAGCGGCAGCGCCUCCUCAAUGAUGGCAGCGAGCGCGGACGUGUUGGACACCACCUCGUCGAUGUCCGUGCAGCCCGCUUCUUUCUCUGUAGGAAGGACGCGGUUACGCUCGCGUUGACAUCGGAUGACUCGGUCACAUGCACGAGAGGGGCGGUACAACAUGGCACCGUCAAUGGCAGCCAUGAUGCCCGCGCCACCGUGGUCCCUCCCAGUGCCGACCUGGAGCAACUUGCCACUCCUCGGCUCGUGACCGGCGGGCUUUACGGGCCACCUAGCCAUUUUUUAUGCCAGCCAACUCUUCUUCCUGCUCGUCAGAUGUCAUGGAGAAAACUGUUCAAGGAGGAAAAUGAUGAGUGGACGUGUGAUGCGCUUCUUGCCCAACAUCUGACAUUGUUUAAAUAGCGAGGGGACACGAGAGGAGCCAACCGGCGUUCUGUUCAAUGCCAACUGGCUCGCGAACGAACAUGUGGCCGGAGUAAUUAUCCUGGCACACACGCGGGUUUAAUGGUGGAAGGCGGGCAGUCUGCAGGAAUGAGGUGAGGAUGCGUGUUUAGCCGGCGUGCAGCGGGCAGCGCCCUCGGCCGGCGUGCUGCUUCCAUUGCGGAGGUAGUGAGAGGUCGCGUCCGCUCUGCAGCGCAUGAAUGCGGGCAGCUGGCGCAGAGCGGGAACGCGUGCAUGGUUUGGGUGGGCACGGGUGGUGAGAAGAGGUCAUGGGUGUUGUCCGAACGCCUGGAAAGCCCCCCCUCCAUGUUUGUCUCCGGUUUACGGGAGAAAGUACGUCCGGACCGUUUGAUGGACCAAUACAGGCCCGCAUUGGAUGGCACAACACGUCCGGACCAUGUGGUCCGGAUGGUUGUGGACGGUUUAAUUGAGGGUCGACGUUGGAGAUGCCUUAGAGUUUAUGAAUCCAUUGUGUUUUUUAAUCAUAAAAAGCACUUAUAACAAGUUAUAAGGAAAGACACGUUUAUAUGUUAGGUUCGGACUCCAGCUUUCCUCUUACAUAUGCUUUAUUGUGAUCCGACUGAUUCCAAUAGAGUGAGCCUAGCGUUGUUUUUCUGGAAACUUGCGGGAUAAGGAGACAUGCAUACACAUUCAUUCAAGCAAAUCACAUCCAUUCUUUUUAACUCAUUUUUCUUCUUUUAAUAAUAUAAUAGAUCAUUUAUAUUUUUAUCUCAAACAGUUGACGUGUAAUUUAUACUGUAAUCUGAGGAUAAUGUUUGGAUUUACUUUCAAAUAUAUUUGAAAUGGCCAUGAUGGAAUCACAUCCAUUUAUUUUAUUAUUAUUUGAAUUUGAUCCAAAAGAUAAAUAAUGAGUAGAGGUCAUGUCAACUUUUCUGAGAACUUUGCUAAUCAAAAUAUAAUUUGUAUUUAAAAACAUCUUUUUAGCACGCAUGAAAAACAUAACGCCUAUCUUUUCACACAUGAUGAACGGUUGUCAUAAGAACUCAUGGCAUGCCACAAGCUCCCUCCGACCCUGCCAACAUUGUUACAGCUGCACUCGCAAGCUUUAUCGUAGAUGAUCAUUUAUACGAUUUGCGUAAAUCAAAAUAAGAUCUACAAACGAAUAGAAGCUAGAACGUACCUUGGCAUGCACACACAUUGCAAGCCAUACUAAGCUGAUAAGUGUUAAUAACUUCUACAACAUAUACAACACUUAAGACAAGUAAAAGCAAUUUGAUGAGUCAUGGUCUAUCAAAGGCACAUUACUAGUCUAAUCCAUCUUAACAGGUCACACAUGAUUAAAACCUUGUUUGUGUGCAAGUCAAGCUUAUCUAGUUUACAUGUAACAACUUGUAGAACAUUACAAAAUUUAUGUUUGCUAAUAACCUCUAGAACACUACAACACUUGACAUGUAAAAGGAAUUUGAUGAGUCAUGGCCUACUAAAGCAAGUUAUAUUACUAGUCUUAUCUACCUUAACAGGCCACACAAGAUUACAAACUAAGUUCUGUGCUAGCCAUGCUUAUCUAGUUUAUGCGUAACAAUUUGCAGAAAAUUACAAACUUAGUUUCAGAAAAAUAGGCAAUCUAGAUUAGUGUUUGAGCUGUAAAGUGAAUAAGAUGAGUCAUGUGUGUUAUCACACCUUUUUGGUUGUGGAAUAAUAGUGCAACAACAAGGAACUUUAAUGACCAGUCCAAGAAUACACUUGUAAGUAGUGCCACCGAACACAACAUGCCAAAUUUUGAUUUUGAGAAGCAUCCAAACACUUCCACACAAGCAAAUGCCAAUUGUGAAAGAGAUCAUGCCAUGGCAGCUAUAAAUAGGCCCGUAGCAUGACGAUCAUCCUUCCUCAUCCAUCAUUCUCAUAAGUAGAGCGCAUCAUUUAAGCCAAGCAAGCAGUGCUCAAUACAAAUCCACCAUGAAGACCUUUCUCAUCCUUGCCCUCCUUGCUAUUGUGGCGACCACCGCCACAACUGCAGUUAGAGUUCCAGUGCCACAAUUGCAGCUACAAAAUCCAUCUCAGCAACAGCCACAAGAGCAAGUUCCAUUGGUACAAGAACAACAAUUUCCAGGGCAGCAACAACCAUUUCCACCACAACAGCCAUAUCCGCAGCCGCAACCAUUUCCAUCACAACAACCAUAUCUGCAGCUGCAACCAUUUCCACAGCCGCAACUACCAUAUCCGCAGCCGCAACCAUUUCGACCACAACAACCAUAUCCACAGCCGCAACCACAGUAUUCGCAACCACAACAACCAAUUUCGCAGCAGCAGCAGCAGCAGCAGCAACAACAACAACAACAACAACAAAUCCUACAACAAAUUUUGCAACAACAACUGAUUCCAUGCAGGGAUGUUGUAUUGCAACAACACAACAUAGCGCAUGGAAGCUCACAAGUUUUGCAAGAAAGUACUUACCAGCUGGUGCAACAAUUGUGUUGUCAGCAGCUGUGGCAGAUCCCCGAGCAGUCGCGGUGCCAAGCCAUCCACAAUGUUGUUCAUGCUAUUAUUCUGCAUCAACAACACCACCACCACCAACAACAACAACAACAACAACAACAACAACCGUUGAGCCAAGUCUCCUUCCAACAGCCUCAGCAACAAUAUCCAUCAGGCCAGGGCUUCUUCCAACCAUCUCAGCAAAACCCACAGGCCCAGGGCUCUUUCCAGCCUCAACAACUGCCCCAGUUUGAGGCAAUAAGGAACCUAGCGCUACAGACGCUACCUGCAAUGUGCAAUGUGUAUAUCCCUCCAUAUUGCACCAUUGCUCCAUUUGGCAUCUUCGGUACUAACUGAGAAGAGAAGAACUCUAGUAGUAGAUAUAUGAUACACCGUUUUCUUAGUCCAUGGUUUGGUCGUUGUAGCGGUGAAAAAAUAAAGUGACAUGCACUAUCAUGUAAGAACCUGAACUAUACUAGUUCAAACUUGGGAAUAAAAGACAAACACAGGUCUUGUCUACAUAUGAUUGUUUGUUUGAGUUCCACUCAUGUGCCCAUUCACAAGUUCACCCCUAAUUAUAUAUAUUAUGCAUUAAGUAGAUAUUUAUGUUGCAUUAAUCUAAAGAUAACAAAAUGAGUCUGAAAUUUGAAUUAAAUUGAAGUAUUUCCUUGGACUUUCAAAUGGAGUAUUAUUAAAGUAGUAAGGACUAUCCACAUCCUUGGCUUGCCCUUGAUCAAUUAUUUGCUGAGAAGCAUUCAAUUCGUCAAUCAAUUACAUUGAUUUUUGUGGCUGGUACUUCUCCUCAACAUGAGUAUAUUCAUCGUGGCUACUCCAAAUCGGCAUGAAUGAGGUACCGGUGCUCUGGAGCACUAGUAC